rnacentral:lncRNA from 1 species
AAGGAAACAGUCUCUUGCAAUGGCGUCCGUAGUUGCUGCCUCCACCAUUGUGGCCCCUGCUGCCUUUGCUGCAGCCUCCGCCUCGGUUGGCUCUGCUGACUCCACCUCCGUGAAGGCUUUCUCCGGUCUCAAGAGCGCCACUCUCUUCACCUCCAAGGCCCAGACAUUGAGCUCAGUCCAGAACCGCAGCCGUGUGCAGUGCAUGCAGGUGUGGAACCCCAUUGGCAUGACCAAGUUCGAGACCUUCUCAUACUUGCCCCCACUUUCUGACGAUGCCAUCGCCAAGCAGGUGGAGUACAUGAUCCAGCAGAAGCUUAUCCCCUGCCUCGAGUUCGACGUGGUAAGCCUUUUGCUUGAACUCCGCGCGAUUUACUUGAAUCUCGGCAUAAUUUCUUUGUCGAAACCUAGGUUAAAAGCCCUCUGUAAGGACUCGUUGUUUAGAUUUUUGAGUUAUCACUGAGGUGAAGAUGUGUGAGCAAUGUCUCUCUGUCGGGUGCGUUUUUUUUCUACAGUUUGCAAUUUGAAGAAAAUAAAAACGCAACCCUCUUAGCAUUUGCUAGAAGUUCUGAUUUAAGCUACCAUCUCCUGACGAGUGGUGUGGUGUAAGAGCAGAACGCCAACGGAGUAUCUCGUACCAACAACUCCAGCCCAGGCUACUACGAUGGUCGUUACUGGACCAUGUGGAAGCUGCCCAUGUUCGGAUGCCAAGACUCCGCUCAAGUCUUGAGGGAGAUUGAGGAGUGCAAGAAGACCUUCCCCGGCUGCUUCGUCCGCGUGUUGGGUUUUGACAACGUGAAGCAGGUGCAAAUCUGCGGGUUCCUGGUUGCUCGGCCUAACUAGAUUCUUCAAGCCUCGACUUGUCGAAAUCGAUAUUCAUGUAUCAGCGAUGUAUCCACUUUGUAUGCUAGUUACAUUACAGUUACAGUGAAUAAACAUGAAAUUUAAACAAACACGUUCUCGCUUUCUUCCCAAAUUCCUCGAUCUGUGUUGUCACUAGUAGGGGUUCUUAAUUUCGGUAAGACACUAGUGCAAUUUCAGUGUCGACAUGGCCGUAAUUCGUCUCAGAAACCUUCCAUUCAUAGUUGCUAUGCACGUAAAGGUUGAGUGCGUCUUGCAAUUCCAGGUCGAGCUUGCUAGUUCUCGAUUCCUCCUCCCGAAGUAUCGUGUCAUGAACCAAAACCUGCUCGAGUUACUGUAGGAUAAGCUUUUGCAAUGCAUGAAUUUAGAUAUUUCCCCUCAUCGGUCCAUACUGAGGCAGCUGUACAAUGGAUUUUGGAAAGCAAUGAUAACAAGCCGAACAUCGUUUGCUAUGAGAUUAUUAUUGUACCAGUGCCAAUGUCGGCGUGCGAGUCAUUAAAGCAAUCAAUUAUAACUGUGCCGAUAUUUCCUUUUCUCUGACUAGAAACAUGCUAUUCUGAAGAAUGAAAAGUACCUCUAAGGUAGGAUGUUGAAUCGAGUUGUAAGCAUUAAUAAUAUUUGGUUUUUGAGAACGAUUUGCUUAAAUUCCUAAAUUUCAAAAAAAAGAGUAGAUUGACACAUUGGUGUAAAUAUAUUUGAUUGGAGAAUAUGAAAGUACUAUACAAUUAUUAAUAUUUGAUUGUGAGUUAGUAGUAGAAUAGAGAUUAUUAUUAUUAUUGGUGUUAUAUAAACACAAACAUACUGCACACAGAUUCUCGAAAACUAUUCAGAAAACGGUGGAUAAAAAAAUAAAACUAUUCAUCUGUGUAUAUAAAUGCAUGUGUAUAAAUAUACACAAUUUCUAGCAUGUUUUAAUAAAAUUUCGUGAGCCAUGCACUUCUAUGUCUAUAUAUAUAUAUAUCUAUAUUAGCACUAAGUGUAGUAUUUUUUAUCAAAUGUUAUCAUUGCCUUGUAACCCUGCAAGAAGUAUUAAUGACAGUAAUAUUAAUAAUAAUCUGCUUUUUGAUUUUCAUAGAUAAACACAUUUAAGAAUACCAAAUAACACCUAUUAUUAAUUGAAUGACUUAUUAUUGUAUCAUAUAAAUAAUCAGAAAGAAUUCAUAAGGUUAAAUGCCUUUAUUUAAAUAAAUGGUGUACAUUGUUAUGAUUUUUUUAGUUUAAGUUUUCAUUCUUAAGAUAUUAAUUUGUUGGGAAAAUCCCUUUUAAGGCUUGAAUAUAUAUAGAAUGACAAGUGAGAUUGCUCAAUUGUAAGUGACACUUGUAGCAUCUCAAUAAAGGAGACAAUAAAACAUAAUCUGUAUCAUAACAAAUCUAUAAAACAUAAAAUUACCAUGUGUUGGAGAUAUUGGGAAUAACUAUGAAUUAUUAAAAGAAACGGUUAUUAUUAAGAAAAUAAGAGAGCAUGAAGCUUAUUGUCUCUUUUUCUUUUUUCUUUUUUCUUUUUCUUUUGUAAUUUGGACUAGUUUUUCUUAAUAAUUUGAUAGCAAUGUUGUAAGAGAUAGGUAAUAAACUAAUUACUUAAAUUAUAACUGAACUUAUAAAUAGGGUCUAUUAAAACUAUUAUCUUAAACUUAUUAUUCAUUCAUUCAUUAAUGUCUUGUACAACAUAAUUUUUAGGGUUGGUUUAAAAAAAAAAAAAUGGCAUUGCUUCAACAUUUCGAUGCAUGGUGGUUUGUUUUGUCACAGUAAAAUUUUGAAUGUAGCAAUACAAUUUACAGAAAAUUCAUCUAAUUCUACUUCAUAUCACUCUUGUAUUAACAACAACGUUUGUACUUUUAAUUGGAAGUCAAAUAUUUUGUAUAAAAUGCAAAAAUAUUCUUCCAAUUUUUUGAAGAAUUGUUUCAAUUUGUAACUUUUUAAAAAGUCAUUUUUUGUUCAAUUAUUUUUUAAGAGACCAAUUUAAAUAGAAUAGGAUAUUUAUGUGUUGCUAUUAAAAUUCUGAUUUCACAUUGGGUCUCAUUUAUCAGAAAUGAGAAAAGAUUUACGUGCAUAUAUAUAUAUAUAUAUAUAUAUAUGCACAAACCCAAACAUCAACAUACUUUUUAGAAAAUAAACUGUGCAUGAUUUUUAAAUGUUAAAUCAAGUUUCUGGCUAAAACUUACGACUUCAUUUUUCUCUUUUACUUUCUAUUAUUCAUCCAUGUUCAAACUCAUUCCCUCAUUUUUCAUGCUAAUAGUUCAUCAUUAUUAUUCAAUUCACCUCAAUAGUAUUUUCUCAUUUAAAAUUAUGUAAAGUGCUUUAUCCUAUUUUCUUAAACAGACCUUCUAUCAAGUUGCACACAAGCUGUGAAGUUAAUGCCUAUAAAUGAUGUUGUAAGAGCGGAAUUACAUGAAACACUCGACGCUAAAUAGAGUUAAUUUCAUCGAAGAUUGAUUUCCAGCUUUAUUUAUUUCCUUAUAUUAGCAAAUAUUGAAGGCACCAAAGCAGGUUUGAGGAAGUGACGGAUGAAUGACGUCGUUAGUAGGGAUGAACUGCAUGAAUGAAUAGAAGAGUAAUGCCCCGUUCAUGGGUUUUGUAAACCCCUAACUCUGCUUCGAGGGCAUUUGAUUUUGCUCCGAGGCUGCUCCAUCGAGCUCCCCUCAUUGUUGUCUCCGACUCCAGCUAUGGCUCCUCCUUUGAAGGUUGCCAACCCGCAGGCGACGAAGGCAUCGAAGGCUGCGAAAGCGCUCAAGACUACCACCAAGCCGGUGAAGAAGCUAUGGAGGAAGGUGCGCACCUCUGUUACGUUCCAUCGUCCCAAGACCCUCAAGCGCGCCAGAGCGCCCAAGUACCCUCGCCUUAGCGCACCCAACCGUAACAAGCUCGACCACUACGAGGUGCUCAAGUACCCACUCACCACGGAGUCCGCGAUGAAGAAGAUUGAGGACAACAACACUUUGGUUUUCAUCGUGGAUGUGCGCGCCGACAAGAAGAAGAUCAAAGAGGCCGUCAAGAAGAUGUACGACAUUCAGACCAAGAAGGUCAAUACUUUGAUCAGGUGAUUAUGUUUUCCCAUGCUUUAUUUCUCGGGGCAACACUCUAGGGUUUGGGAAACUGGGUUUUUGCAAUUGCGUCGUGUUGUGUAGCUCCAGAUUUUCUUGGCUUGUGACGAUUUGUGACUUUGAGGCCCAUUGUGAAGCUAUGUUGUUUUGUUUACACUGGAAGUAUUACAAUCAUGAGCAUUCUUGUUGUUUUUAUCUCUACAAUGCGGCUCUCUGUUUGAGCUGAUUUUUCUUCUCUGUGAGACGAUUGAGGUUCUUCCUUUGUGGAAUCACUUGCUGCAUGUUCUUUAUACAACUCUCUGCACAUUUCGGUAAUAUCAAGUCUAAAUCCCUUGUUUUUUAUUCUUACUGUUGUGAUUUCAGCGUGCCAUUAGCAUUGUAUGUUUAGGUCAUAAUUUGUUCGUCCUUUUUGUUUUUUGUUUUCUUUGUCUUUGUUUUUGUUUUUUGAGAAAGGUAACUUUCCUUCAAUUACGGGAGUCGAACUUAAAAGAGCAAUCUUGAUCCUAAAAUGAUUGUGCCGAUCAUGCUAUAUUAGGUGUUUUAUUUCAGAUUUGAUAGUAGUAAAUGAGUAGCAAUAUGUCUUAAGCAUAGUUUCUCGAUGUAGAAGUUAGCAUUUCUCCUAAAAUGCAUAAAUAUGACUACAUGAUCUAGCAGUGUAUGUCAGAAAUUAGGUUUUAGGUCUAGUACCAACAUGAUCAACAUGGAUGUUCAUUUCGUAAUUUUUUUUGGGAUUUCGUAUUGAUUUGAUAUCACCUGUUCCCAUUCCUCUCUAGGAUGUGAAAUUUCUAAUGUGGUCAAAUUUAUCUAUUUUCUCAGGCCUGAUGGAGCCAAGAAGGCUUACGUGAGACUGACAGCAGAUUAUGAUGCGCUUGAUGUGGCCAACAAGAUCGGUAUCAUAUAAAUUUUCUGUUCAAUUUUGUAAUCAUCUUAAUCUAAAGGCUUCGUUCCAUUUCCGGCUUAGUGACGUCUUUUCUUCCCCUCACUUUCUUUUUUGAUAAGCUCAGUUAUUGGUUUCCGAAAGAUUUGAAACCUGUAUUCCUGCAAGGUUUGCAAAUGAAAAAUGCGAGUUACUCAGAGUCCCCUGUUUGAAUGCUUUUAACACUGAAGAAAGUACAUCGAGGCUUUCUAAUGUGAAAUCUAUUUAUUUCGGAGAUCUAGUCAAUCUAGUUUACAGAUUGGUGCAUUCAUCUUACAACUACGUCAAGUAGCAGAGACACCCAGUAGCUGUGAAAUUGUUCACGUAGUCUUAAGCAGGAUCACUGGAAACGUACAUACAGCUAUGCUUCUUAUGUAGUAUUCAAACUGUGAUGAAGUCCCAGUGUAGCCGAAGGCAAUGAAGGAAUUAGUCUGAGUGAGGAUACUUGAACCCAGAACCAAAUAACACAUCGUUCACAGAUCAUUUACUAGUUUAUGCCUGAGUUAGGAUAAAAAAGUCUUUGGAUAAGGUGUAUAUAAACCACAAAAUGUGUUAGAAUACUAGAAAAAUUGUACAGUUUGUUACUCGAAACUCCUGUAUUACACAAUCAUUAAUUCUAAAAUUCAAUGUACUCAAAGGAUGUUUAUGAUUAGCCAUCUUAGCAUUGUAGAUCUAAAAACCAUGAGUCUAUGUGUGGGAAAAACAAUUGUUAAAUCAGUAUCCCAUUCUGUGAAAGAUGUGCACCUGUGAUGUCUUCAAGCUUCUUUGAACUUAAAUUGUUUCUGUGGUGCUCGAGUAGAAAUUAGUCAAUAAAGCUGUUAAACUUAUAUAGAUACUUUCUGUCAGGUUUUUGAGAAUGUGUAACCAAGUUCAUUGGUCUAUUAGUCACAUAUAAGAAUAAAAGUAGCUUUAAGUCAUUUUGAUAGAAUUACUUCUAAAUUUACAUGUUUGAAUAAAGGUAUUUUUUGAGUUUACGUUCAAAAGGAUCUGUCUAUUAAUAGAUUGUACCUCUAUUUAUUGCAUAUCCAACUACAUCCAUUGAGUAUUGAACUACAAGUACAUCAUGUAAAGAUAUGUUAAUUUUUUAAAUUCUUUAUAGAUAGCAAAUAAUCAUAUAUUAAUUUUUAGAACUCUUGGUAAAUUGCAAAUAAUAGAGAUCAUGGUGUACACAAAAGAUAUGAAUCUCUCAUAUAGACAAGAUUCUCAACUCAAACUAAAAAUGCCUUGGCUAUUGAUUAUGAUAUAUAUUAAACUAAUUCAAGCUUAAGUAUUUCAACUUUGUCUCAUUAAUAUCAUCUCUCUAUGAAGGACAAGAAUUCAAAGAAGAUACAUAAACAAGUGAAAUAUACAUCAAAGAGAGAUGACAAUAUAGAAACAAAAAAAUAUGUAUAUUCAAGAAGAAAUUAGAAUGGCUAUUGCCAAAGACUAGAAAUUUAAAGACUAGAAAUUUAAAGACUUUUGAAACUAGACUAGAAGCAAGAGUGAAGAAGGCUUCUCUCUCUCUCUCUCUCUCUCUCUCUCUCUUUAUAUAUAUAUAUAUAUAUAUAUAUAUAUAGGAACUAUAUGAUGACACUUUAUAAGACCUUUGACACAUGUCCAAUUCACAUGCUACGUCUCUAACUUGCAAGAGAAAUAUUAUAUAUUUGUGCUACAUGGUUAACUUAUAUUAUAAGUUACCAAUAUAUGCAACAUGUGGCAAAUUGGUGGCAAAGUUUUUAACCUAUCAGUCACCUAAAGAUACAUAUAAAGGUGAAAUUGCAUCUAUAAAGCUUCUCUACAAGAUAUUAUCAAGUUUAUCUAUUUUUACAUACUUCAAUCUAUUCAUGUUAUUUAGGUAAUUAUUGAAAUAAACAUGUAUGUUUAUAAUAUUAUCCCUCCAUUCUAAGGACAAGUUCCAUGAGGAGUGAUAAUCAUAUGUUGAGGAAGUCCAAGAUGUCACAAAUUAUAUUUACUAUAUACUUUGAUCCUUGUUGCUUUUCAAAGUAGUUAAUAAGUCCUCUCAAUCAUCAAUAGUAUUCCAUUACAAGGCAAAAAAAUUACCUUAAUAUUUAAUUAUUGUUGAGGUCUUUGUAACUUCUUUCAAACAAAAUAUUUGUUAUACCAUUAAGAAUCAUUCCUAUCUCCAAUAAAAUCACCAAACAUUGGAAGUUUCUUCCAAGAUUGUGAUAUCAAACGCAUUAUAUUUUUCUAUCUAUUCAAGAAAGAUCAUGUCAUUCUUAAAGAUCUUUAUUUCUAUUAUAUUAACUUGAAGGUGUAUAUAUAACCAGAUAUGGUUCAAAUACAAUCUACUAUAGAUGUAUAUUAAUGGAAUACAUAAUAGAUAUUAGAUAUGUAGUGGAUUUUGUAUAGAUAGGGAUACAAUAGAAUUGAAUAUAGUGCUGAACAUGGUACUAAUAUCAUAAGAGUAUGGUAUAAAAACUAUAUAAUAUGAUAGGAUUUAUCAUAGAAUACAUGAUAGAGAAUACAAUAGAUUUUGGGUCUAAUAUACACUAGAUUAUAUGGCCAUGGAUAUGUACCAAGUAUUGUAGGUAUUGUAUCACAAUAUUAUAUUACAUGUAUAGACGGCCAAAGAUUAGGUAUAACAUCUAAGCAAAUGAGGCUGAAAUAAGGACCUCAUAUUAGUUGAUAAGGGUUGUUAAUAAGGGUCCGAACUUCUCUAGAUCAAUUUUUAUUUUUAUUUUUAUUUUUUUUGUUCUGAUUUUAUUUUUUGUAUUGAAUUUGGGCUUUGAGUCUUACAAUCUUCCUUGAUUUUCUUUUCUUUUCAUAAGGUCACCUUAUUGUAGAUGAGCCUUCUUGUAGAUGAGCCUUGUUUUGUUGAGAUGCCACAGUGUAAUACACUGUAUUUUUUGUGAGCAUUGAGGUGAGCUUCAAAUCAACAAAAUUGUUAGUAUGGCACUAAGUGGAGAAUGUUUUCAUUGAUCUUUGAAUAAUGGAUAUAUCAAGGAUGCUAUUACUUAUUUUAAUUUUUUUAAUUUUUUAUUAUUAUUAUUAUUUUUCCUUAUAUAUGAUUACUAGUUCAAAAGUGUAUAAAGGCUAUAUCAGGUGGUUGUAUCUUUCUAUCCUUGAAAUUUUGGCGAUAAUAUUGGAAGCUCAUGUUAGAAGGAAUUGCCAUUGAAAGAAGAGUACAAGUUGUCAAGUAUAAUGUUGAUUUUGUUGUAUAAGUCAAAGAUAAGUUGAGGCAAUGCAAAUUAUAGAGCUUUAGAGCUGCAUGGUGCUGCUAUCUUGAUAGAUCAAUUGGUGUCUAAAUACUUCACAUUUUCAGCUUGCAAAGAGUAUUUUGUUUUUUAUUUGUUUGUUUUAUUUUAUUUUAUUUUUCUUUUUGGAACAACAAUCAUAUUGUGAACUUAAUAGUCCAGAAUCGAUUAAUAAUACUAUCAAUCAUUCUUUUGGCAAAAUUCACUAUCAAUUGCUUUGUGCGCAAGGAUCUAAGAUUAUAGAGUGUGGAUCUUGCAUGAAGGACAAUGCAAUUGUGUAACUUUCAAGCUGAAAAAAACCUUUGGAUUACAGCUUGAUUCUUCCUGCAUUUGCUUUUUAUAUAGAGAAAAUGAUUUAAUUUAGUUGAUUGUUUUGGCACUACUCUCAUAGAAUAAGCAUGAAGUCAUACAUCAUAGUAAUAAUGUGAUGGUGGAAGUUAAAGUUCAAGGAUGUAGAUUCUUAUACAAAGGUCUAUUGGAAUUCAUUUGUAGUUAGCAUCAUGAAGCUUUCUCCAAAAUUAGGCUUUGUCAUAUGUCUAGUACAUUAUAAUUGUUAACCUUCUAUUUCUAUGAGAUAUUACAUGAUCUGUGCCAUUACAAACUUAACCAAGCAAGUAGAGAUAUUUUUCAUGAAGAAGAGGAUUAAAUGAUGGAACCACUUCAAAAUCCCUUUUAAUAAUAUUAGCUAUUAUAGCCAUUACAUUUGCUACUUUGCUACUCUUCCACCUUCUCUAAUUACCUUUCAUAUUUUCAGAUUAAAGGCAUGAAUCUCGAAGAACCAAAAUUUUAAUACAUUCUUGUGUAAUUCAAAAAGAAUAUGUAUGCACUCCAAAAUAAUAUAGUAUUGAAACUAGAAUGACUAUUGCUAAAGACAAAAAUAUUAGAAAGUCUUGAAAUAAGAUUAAAGACUAGAAAGGCAUUGAGAAGAGUGAAGAAGUCUUCACUAUUGCAUCCAUAUAUACUAUCUAACUAGAAGCUAUAUGGUGAUGUUCUAUAGGAUGUCUAAUAUGUAUACAAUUUAUAAAACUCAUGUCUUAACUUGUAAGACAAGUUUCAUAUAUGUGCACUAUAUCUUUAGAUUAUAGUACAAGCUACCAACUUGUGCGAUAUAUGAUUAACUUGUUGAUCAAGUAUCUAAUCUAUCAAUUAUCUAUGGACAUGUAUAGAGACAAAAAUAUAUUUAUGAAGCUUUUAGAAAGCUUAUCUAUAAGAUAUUAUGAAAUUAAUCUAUUUUUAUCUACUUCUAUCUAUUCAUAUUAUUUAAAUUAAUAUUAGAAUAAAUAAAUAUGUCCAUGAUAGUAUUCUUCAUUGUAAAAAUGAAUUCUAUGAAGAAUUGUGUCAUGAUGUAUUAUGGCUAAUAGGUGAAAGAAUAAAAUAAAUAUUAUAUUAUAAAAUAUAUUAAUUCAAAAUAUUAUAGCAAAUUAUCUUAGAAAUAUAGAUAAUAAUCAAAAGAUAGUAAAACUAAAAGUGCAAAUUCUACCUUUUUAUAAAGUAGGCUUCUAUUUAUUUUAUAGGGCCAUAAAUAAGGCAAAAUAAGAUAGAUUAGAAAAUUAAAGAAAAUAAGUAUUUGCACAUGGGAGUUAGGAGUCGAUUUUAGCAAAAAUUACCUCACAAAAAAAAGAAUUGAUAUCUAAAAAAGACCAAUUGCCAAUCAAGAUCAAAAUCAGAUCCCAAAGGACAAAACCUCACAUUUAUAAUGACUCAAGGAGUUCUUUUAUAAAUCAAAUAGUAGAAUUUGAAAGAAGACUUUAUAAAUUUUUUUUGAGCAUGAAAUUUAAGAAAUUUGAUUUUGUAAUGACUUUGUAAGAUCUUUGCAAAAUCAAGGUUGUUUUGGUGAAUCUAGUUUGUAAAAUAAAAACACGAGGUUUAUAUUUGAAAGAAUUUUAUAAGUUUAGUAGUAAAUUUAUAAAUAAUUUUUUUUGUAUUUAUGUUUGUAAUUAUUUUUAUCACGUAUUAUAAAUUUGAGUAUGAUCAAAUGAUAGGAUAUAAGUUAUUGAAGUACCAAUGGAUUGAAGUCUUAAAAAUGAGGUUUUGAAGGUUAAUGAGGGUUUUUAAGAUCUUUAAGAAUUUUUUAACUAAAUUGAAGUGAAAUUUGUGAAUAUAGAUAGUAGACUUGAUUUUCAACAUAUAUGUGAAUUUUGAAAGGUAUUUAAUAGUAGAAUUAAGAGAUUUUAGCUUAGAAAGAUUGGCAUCAAGAUUGGAGAAGGAGGCUAGCCAAUACCUAAGUAGAUUUUAGGAUUUAUCUUCUAUUUAGUAAGUUUGAUCUUCUUAAAAUCAUUUGUGCUUGUUGCUAGCUUAAUUUUUGAGAGAUGUAAGAUAUUCGAGUCAUAAUCAAUAAUUUGAUUAUUAGUUACAAAGAUUUUAGUUUACUAUAGGAUUUAUUAAGAAUUUGUUUAAGAUUUAGGAUUGAUUUAGUAUCUAAGAUUUUAUUAGGAUUUUUUAAGGAUUUUUUAAAGAUUUAUCUAGGAUUUAAAUAGAUUUUUUUUAGAGUUUAUUUAGGAUUUGAUUAGAGUAUGUUUAAAGUUUUUCUAGGAUUUGUUUAGAAUUUGAUUAAGAUUUGAUUAGGAUUUAUUUAAGAUUUGGAUAGGAUUUAAUUAGAAUUUAUUUAUAAUUUUUUUAGAAUUUGUUUAAGAUUUGAUUAGGAUUUGAUUAGGUUUUAUUUUAGAAUUUGUUUGUGAUUUGUUUAAAAUUUUUUUAAGAUUUGAUUAGGAUUUUUCUAGAAUUUAUCUAAGAUUCGAUUAAGAUUUUUCUAGGAUUUGAUUAGAUUUUGUUUUAGAAUUUUUCUAGGAUUUGAUUAAGAUUUGAUUAAGAUUUGAUUAAGAUUUUUUAGGAUUUUAUUAAGAUUUAUUUAGAAUUUAAUUAGGAUUUUUCUAGGAUUCAUUUAAAAUUUGUUUAGGAUAUGAUUAAGAUUUAUUUAGAAUUUGAUUAAUAUUUGUUUAGGAUUUGAUUUGGAUCUAUUUAGGAUUAAAUUAGGAUUUAUGAAGAUUUUAUUAGAAUUUGUUUAGAAUUUGUAUAAGAUUUGAUUAUGAUUCAAUUAGGAUUUAUUUAGGAUUUUUAUUUUUUUUAUUUUAUAAUUUAUUUAAAAAUUUAAUUAGACUUGAUGAAUGUUUGAUUAUGUUUGUUAAGCUUUAAUUGUAAUUUAUAAAUGAUUCUAUUAGAGUUAUUAGAACUUAUUGUUGCAAUUUACUUUCAUCUUUUAUAGUCAAGUGCCUGAUAUAUUUUCAAGUAAGUCUUUAUAUAAUACAAUAGUGAUGAUUACAUAUUGAUGAAGUUUAAAAUGUAGCAAAUUGUAUCUAUUUCAUAUUCUAAUUUUUGUUUCCUUCAAACAUAGUUAAUCGGUCUUUUCAACCAUUAAUAAUAUCUCAUUUUAAGAUGAGAAGGUUAUCUUGUUAUUUUAUCAUUUUUGAGACCUUUAUAACUUCCUUCAAAUAAAAUAUUUGUAAUACCAUCAAAAGUUGUAACACCAUCAAAUACCUUCAAUAGAAUCACCAAACAUUGAAAGUCUCUUUCAAAAUCAUGAUAUCAAACAUGUUGUAUUUUGCCAUCUAUUUGAAGAAGAAUAUUUUGUUCUUAAAGGCUUUCAUUUCAAUUACUUUGUCUUGAAGGUUGUAAUAAUUGUAAUGUCUCAUUUGAUAAGUUAGCAAAUAAUAGGUCUUGAAUUGAAUCUCUUAGAUUUGGUUCUCUAUUUUCUUAGUAUCAAAAAUACAAAAAAAAUACAAAAAAAAUACAAAAAAUAAUAAAAGGUUAUAUGCAAUUUUUUUUUGAAUUAUAAUUCUUUUAUAAAAAAGACUUAUUAUCCUUCAUUUUGAUUUUGAUGAAUGUCAUCAAUAAAAAAUAUAACAACAUUUUUUAUUAUAUUUGUAAGAUUUUUUUAUUGGCUUGUAUAUGCAUUCAUAAAUAUUAUAUUUUCAUCAAUUAAUAUAAUAUUCUAAUCUAUUUUUUGUACCAUCUUGAGUCUAAGACUUCUUUGAUCUUAUACUUUUGAUUAUUAUCUACUUCUUUAAGAAGAGAUAGUCUUUUCAAAAGAAUUUUUUAAAAUAUUGAUAUAAAUUGUGUCUUCUUAUUCCAUAUAAUAUUUCUUGAUAAUCCAUAAUAGCAAUAAAUGUUGUCAAGGAAAAGCUUAGCUGUUUCUUCACCUAUAAUAAAUUUUGUAUAUAAUUCAAAAUGUAUCAUCUUAGUGAAUUGAUCUACUAUCACGAAUAUAAAAUCAUAAGAACUUGAAACUGAAAGAUCUAUAAUAAAGUCCAUAGAAAUAAAAUACCAUAGUUAUUUUCGAAUAAAUAAUAGUUAAGGAAGUCCAUAAGAUCAAUGAUAAGGAAUUUUUGAUCUUGAAAAAAUAUCAUAUGAUUGUAUAAAGUCUUUAAUUACCUUUUAUAUUUGACGCCACUAAAAGUCUUUAAAUACUAGUUUCAAAAUUUUGUUAUAUCCAAAAUGUUUGACUGUUGGAAAGUCAUGAUGAGUUUAAAGAACAUAUAAUUAUGCUUUGCUUUUUGAAAUAUAUAGUUGUCUUUCAAAAUAGAAUAGAUUAUUUUUAAAUUUAAACUUAGAAGUACUUUGAGACUUAAAAGAAUUAUUUUUAAUAUCAUGAUUAAAAAGAUCAAAGAAUAUAUUAAAUUAGAUUUACUUAAAAAAGAUUAAAUUAAUAAUUAAUAUUGAUUUCAUUGCUCAAAGAUAAAAAUACUCUGGUUCCAAAAAAAUUAAUCUUUGUUGAUCAAAGGAUGCAUUUUUUUCUUUUGAUACAAGAUAAGAACAUCUAAAAAAAGGUAUUUGAAAAAUAUUAUUAUUUUUUGGAUUAAUAAGUGAUUUUGAAAAUAAAUCUUGAUAAAAAUAUGCUUCAAAUGACUUGAAAAUAAAUCAAAACAAGUGCUAAUAUGAAAUACUUGAGGUUCUUGUGAUUUGUAUACAUGGUGAUUAGACUAGAAGCACCUUCUAAGUCAAGAUACUAUUCUUGAAAUGAAUCCAUGAUUACAAAAAGUUCUAUUUCAUAGAUCUUAUAAUUAACUUUGAUUAUUGAAAUUUUUUUGGAAUAGAAAGCUACCAAGUGGAGCUUGUCAUUUGCUCCUAUUUGUAACAACAUUGCAUCCAUAGUAAAGUUUGAUGCAUUUAUUUCCAUAAAAAAUGCCUUAAAAAAGUCAAUACAAUACAAGAUUGAUACAAAAAUAUAUGAUGUCUUCAAGACUUUAAAAGAUAUUUCAGCUUCUUUAUUCUACUUAAGUUUGUCUUAACAUGUCUGAUAUAUAAAAAGAGCUAUAACUUGAAAAAAUUUCUUAAUAAAGAUCUUGUAAUAAGUGAUAAAUCUCAAUAAGUAUUAUAUAUCAUUGAUUGUUUUUUGGAUCUUCCAAUCGAUGAUAGUUUAGACUUUAUUUAGGAUCCAUCAUAAGGCUAUCAUUUAAAAUGAUGUAUUUUAAGAAGUCAACUGAAGUAGUGUGAAAUACAUACUUUUCUAUUUUAGUAUAUAAUCUUAUAUCUCUUAGUUUUUGUAAUAUAUAACAAAUAAUUUUUUUUGGUCUUUAGUAUUUUUAAAAUAGAUUAGGAUAUUAUAUAGAUUACAGAUGACAAAGUCAUUAAAAACCUCAUAAACAAUAUCAUUCAUUAGAUGUUAAAAAAUAUUUGGUGCAUUUGUGAAUAUAAAAGGCAUGAUUUUAUAAUUAAAAUUUUCAUAUCUAAUUUAAAAUAUAUUUUUUAAUUCAUUUUUUUCUUUAAUAUAUAUAUAAAGUUAUAUGUUCCUUAUAGAUCUAUUUUGAUAUAGAUCCUUACUUGAUUGAUUUCAUAAAUAUAUCUUAAAAUCAAAGAUAGAAGAUACUUAUUUUUUAUGGAAAUCUUGUUAAGUCUUUGAUAUUUUACAUACAUAUGCAAAGAUUCAUCUUUUUUCUUUGUAAAUAAGAUAGGAAUAUAUGCCAAAGAUUUAAAAUGAAAAAUGAAGUUCUGAGCCAAAUUUUUAUCAAUAUACUCCUUAAGUAUAGCUAAUUUGUUUCUAAUAAACUAUAUAUUGGUCCAAAUGGUCAUUGAACUCCUUCUUAAAGAUUAAUAAAAUAAAAAUAAAAAUAAUAUUUAAAAAAAUAUCUAUAUAUAUUUUUAAAAAUGUCUUGAUAAUCUUGAUAUUGAAUUUAAAUACCACUUGAAAUUUAUUUUCUAUCAAAAAUAGAUAUGUAUAUAUAACAAAAAUUGAUUGUUCUUUUGGAAUUUACAAAAAAGCUCCUAUACCUACCAAUAAGAAUUUGGACAUAUUAAGCUUAUGGAUUUCUAUUUGAUUAGCAAAAACUUCGUUUAAACUAUAGAAAAAAUCAAGGUUACAAGAAAUUUAAUCUGUUUGUAGAUUAUAUAUUUUUUAUCCAUAAUAAUCUUGAAAUAAUUGAAUUAAAAAGAAAUUUAAUCAAAUUAAAUAUUACUAAGAUAUUAUGAUCUUUAAUUUCUAUAUUUUAAAAAAUAAUUUCAUAAAUGAUAUUACCAAAAUACAAUAAAUGACCAUCAAUUAUUUCUAUAUGCAUAGGUUUGGUUUUUUUAAUCAAAGAUAUUUCUUAUUUUUUAACAAAGCCUUCAUCUAUUAAAUAUGUUGAAGUUCUUAAAUCUAAAAAGGCUUAGAUUCUCAAUACAUUCUUUUGGUCAUUUUUAAGGUAUAUAUAUAUAUAUAUAUAUAUAUAUAUAUAUUUAAUUACCUUGGUUUUAAUUCCAAGUCAAUUGUUUAUUUCAAUUGAGAUAUAAUUUCCUAUCGAGCCACAAUCUAUAAGCGCUUGACAUGGCUAUUAUCUUAGUUGUUUCAUUAGAUACAUUAGUUAAUCCUUUUUAUUGUUGUUGAAGGCUAUGUCAUUUGUCUUUGAAAGACAAUAGUUAUUCCUAGUAGUGGCCCUUGGUGCCUUUACUAGGGAGCUCCAUUUUCUUACUCUAUCUUAUUGUCAACUUGGUCAGUCUGAAGAUUAUAAACUUGCCCUCAUUUAUUGGUGCUUGAAUUUCAAUAUUUUGGACAAUCUACAAUUUGAUGGCGUUGUUCCUAAGAAUAGAAACAUAAUCCUUUAUGUACCAAUAUUUGUGAUUUUUGUAGUGUUAAUGAUCCUUGUAGACAUCAAUCUCUAUUGCUAUUGGUUGAUGUGCCAUACUAUUAGAUAGCGGCAUAGGACUUUGUGCUAUAGGUUGUGCUUUAUAAUUUUUGAUAUCUAUAGCAUCAACUCUAUAUGCAAUCCUAAUUGCCUCUUUAAAUGUUUGUAGAACUCUUAGUUCCACCUCUUGCUAGUCCCUAGAUUUCAACCUUUGUAGAAACCAAUCCAUUAUCUCUGCCUUUGAAACAUUGCUAAUUUAAAGAUAUAAAAACUUAAAUCAAAAGACAUAAUCUUGGACCAAUCUAGAUUGUGUAAACUUUGUUAAUUGAUUGCAUGCUAUCUUUUUUACAUUGAUCGGUAAAAAUAGGACUCUUAAACUUGGUCUCAAAUUCCUCCCAAUCACAAAAUCCACCUUGAGCUCUAUAGCUUUGAAUUCAAUGUUGCCACUAAAUUUCUGACACAUCUCUCAAAUAGUUAAAUACAUACAUAAUUCUUUUGGUGGUAUUUUUCCUACAUAGUCAGAAGUAUUGUUGCAUGUUGAAGCAUCAUUGGCAUAUAUCUUCUUGCUUGAAAGUCCUAGUAUAUGUAGUAGACUUAUUCAAUUCAACCUAACAAAUGUCAACUCUUUUAUCUUACACGCUUCUAUUUGUCCUUAUAUAGUAGCUAUCUAGUCUACGAGGUGUUGUAUCUAAGCUUCUAUUUGGGAUUAUUCCACCAUAUCUACCAUACUAUAAUUUCUUCACUGGACUCUACUAUUGUAAUGCCUUCUUUCUUUCUAGCUAACUUCUUAAGAGUAGCUUGUGGUAGCCUCAAUACGGUACCUAGUAUCACUACAAUAACUGACCUUGAACUAGAUAGUAGCUAUCAACAUACUACCAAAGAACAGUCUAACACUCGCUCUGAUACCAAUAAAAUAUGAUUGGAUUAUUUCAAAAAUCUAAAAUUCUUCUUAUCUAGAAUAACUUAAAUUCUACUACAAUAUAAUAGAGAGCAAAUUAUAACAAAAGAAAAUAGAAUAAAAUUAAAUAGAAAGAUGCAAAAACAAACUUUACUUAGUAAAAAGGUCUGAAGCCAUACUUAAUCAAAUGCCUAAAUGGCCAUUAUCAAUUCUAUUUAUACUUUGCUCAAUAAACUUGAGACUUUUUAUAAUAUUUUUAAUGGUGGACUUUACUUAAAUAACUACCUUAAAUUCUUUCUAAAAUAUUCUAAGGUGGAUACCAUAUAAUCCACUAACUAAGACUAAAUCCUAAAAACUUCUAUAAAUUUCUCAAAUAUGACUUGAAUUAUCUAUCCUUAUGUAUCAACAAUAUAAAUAUCUUAUCUAUUUUCUGUUAAAACUAUUAUUUAAAGAUAAGAAAACUAUAGACUCUUGAAACUAGACCAAAAGCAAGAAAAAAAUUAAGAAGAAUGAAGAAGGCUUUAUUCUUGCCUCUAUAUAUACUAUCUAUCUAAAAGCUAUGUAGUGACGUUCUAUAGGACUUCUAAAAUAUGUUGAUUUUGUACAAAUUAUUAUUAUAAUAUAAUAUAGCUAAUAGAUAAAAGAAUAUAGAAAUUAUUAUAUUAUAGAAGAUCUUAGUUCAAAAUAUUAUAAAAAAUUAUCUUAAAAGUAUAGAUAAUAGUCAAAAGAGUAGUAAAACUAAAAAAUAUUAAUAUUGCUUCAUACAAAAUGAACUUCUAUUUUUUAUGUAGGACCUUAAAUAAGGCAAAAUAAAGAAAAUUAGAAAAUUAAAUAAUAUGGACAUGUAUAGGAAGGAAUUAAGAGUAUAUUUGAAUAAAAUUUACCUCAAAAAGCCAAAAAUUGAUACUCAGAGAGGAUUGGCUGUCAACUUGGGUUGAAAUCAGACCCUGAGACACAAAAUUAUACAUAUACAAUGACUUUGGAGAUUCUUUUGUAGAUUAAAAAAUAGGAUUUGAUAGCAAACUUGAUAGGGUUUUUAUAAGCAUUGGUUUUGUAUAAUUUAGAUUCGUAAUGAUUUUUUAAGAGCUUUAUAAAGUCAAGCUUGUUUCAAAAGACUUGAAUUUUUGUAAAAUAAAAUAGGUUGACAUUUUGGGUAAUUUCAAGAUUUUUUUAGCAGAUCUAUUAAUGAUUUUUUUUGAAGUAAUGGCUAUAGUUGUGUUAAAUAUUUAUUAUAAAUUUUAGCUUGAUCUAAUAGUUGAAUUGAGGAUUAUUGAGGUUUAAGUGGGUCAUAGUUUGGGAAAGUAGAAUUUUAGAUCUAAUAAGGAUUUUUAAGAUUUCUUACAAUCUACUCAUUGGAUUGAAGUGAAAAUUAUGUGUGUGAGUAGUAGACUUAUUUUCUUACAUAUAUGAGAAUUUUGAGAUCAAUUAAAUGGUGCAAAGAAGAAAUAUUAGCAUUAAAAGAUCAGCAUUAAGGUUGGAAAAGGAGGCUAGCCAAUAUCCGAGUAGAUUUUAAGAUUUUUCUUUGAUUUGAUAAGUACAAUUGACUUCAAUUUUAUUAUAUUUGUUUUUCACUAAGAAAGGUGUUUAAAAUUUUAAAGAAGAUCAAUGGUUUAAUCAAAAGAUAUCAAGGUUUUAAACUAUCUUAGGAUUUGGUUUAGUGUCAGCUCUCAAUUAUAUUCUAAAAUUUAAAUUUUUGUUAUUUUCCUAUUUUAUGAUAAUUAAAUAUGUUAGAUUAGGAUUUAUAUAAAUAGAAUUCAGUUUUAUAGAAUUUUUAGGAUUACAAUCCCUCAUGGUAUAAAUCAUAGCCUAAUUCCUUGAAUUAGGUUAAUUAGGACUAAAGUGACAAGAGUUAGAAAAUUAGAAUAGCAACUUAGUUAGUUUAAUAAUUUGAAGGUUGUUAGUAAUUACUAUAAGGAUUGACUAAAAGCCAAUGAGUAUGGCUAUAAUCAUUCUCAUGAUUUAGGGGUUGGAAUUAUAAUUCUCUAAAAGAUUUAGGGAAGUUAGCAAUGGUAAUUUUGGAUUUUUCCUCCAAAUUCCGCAAAUUUAAGCGACAUGGUGGUUCUUCUACUUAAUGGGAGUCUCUUUAAUGGAAUGGUGGCACCAGAUUUACCUUUUGGAGUGAAGAAAAUAAGACCAGCAACCUCUCCUUCAAAAUACAAGAGAAGCAAUGAAAUUCUCAUUUUGAAAAAUUUCACAAAAAAAUUGCCAAGAUCCUUAUAAGUAAAAACUUCCAUAGAAAUUAUAAUUGAGCAUGGAUUGGGGCAUGUAAAUAGUUGAUCUUAGCUUAAAAAUGUGUUUUGAACACAAUAGUGAAGUUAGAUUUACAAAAAAAUUCCUUCUUGACUACUUACAAGGGCCAUCAGCCUUGAUAACGAGAUUGGCUCUUGGAUGAAUGAAGGCCGUAGAUCUAGAUUAGGGAUCUGAAAAAUCAAGGGUGGAGAUGUAGCCACCCUUCUAUGAGCCUCCACUCAAUUUUAUAAGGGAGGCUUGGUUUUCCAAGCCCUCUCUCUCUCUCCUCUUUUGGUGAAGGGCGAAGCUAUGCUAAAAUUUGGCCAAAAAUCCUAAUUUUAAUUUCAUUUAGAUUUUAAAUCUCAUUGUGAAUUUUGUGGGUGGGUGUGCAUGGAUUUCGAGUUGUGAAUGAUAGUCAUUGGGUCUUAAAACACGUUUCAUUGUGGUGAAUAGCUCCCUUGGCCUCCCAAUUACUCCAAGGGUUUCAAGAGCCUCAGAUUUCUCUCCAUCAGUCAUUCAAUUGUUUUAGUUCCAAUGUGAUUUUUUUUGUGGUUGUAGGUUUUGUUGUUAGCUUUCCAACAAGGUAAAGCUUGCUCCAUUUGGAGUUGACCUGAAUUUUUGGUGAUAUUUUGAGUGUGAGGGGGUCGACUGCCUUCGCAGUUUGGAUUAAUCGAGUUUGGGAAGGCAUUUCUCAGUGCUUGAUGACUGGAUUCGUUUGAAAUUUUGGGAGCAUCAAGAUUUGUAAGCUAAGCUUUGAAGGGCACAAGUUUCGCUAGUUUUGAAGACAAUUUGAAUUUUUAGCGAAUUUCUAAGUGAAGGGGGUUGGUCGCCGCGGCAGUUUGGAUCACUCAACUUCAAAGUAGCAAUUCUCACGACUGGAUCACUAGAUUGCAAUGAGAUUUGUUGGGACAGGAGCGUCUUUAAGUUAAACUUGCAACAACUUGUGAAUCAUUCAAUUUGGAGCUAAUUAAAAUUUUUGGAGAAUUUUGGAGUAGAAGGGGGUCGCUGCCUUCAAUCCUUGGCAUUGUCAAGGUACUUUCGCUUUUACCCCUCUUAUUUUAUUUUUACUUUUAUCUUCACAGUAACUCGUAAUCUCUACAUUUCAACUUUUGACUAAUAAAUUUUAACUUUUAACUUUUAACUUUUAACCUUUAAUAUUCUUACUUAAAUUUUUAAACUUUGAACUUUAACUUUUGAAUUUAAUAUUUAACUUUAAUUUUUAACUUUUAACUUUAACUUUUAACUUUAAAUUUUAACUUAAUUUUUAACGUUAACUUUUAACUUUUAAUUUAAACUUAAGUUUUUAUUCUUAUUGUGAAUUAAUAAAAAAAACUUAAUUAAUUACUUUUAUCCUUUUUUUGUGUGGUGAAUUUCAUCUGAUAUUUUAGUUUAAUAUCGGUAACCAUUGCUUGGAAGGCAUUAAUUUUAAUUGAAUUACAACCACCCACAUUUUAAUUAACCUAACAAUUUCAGAAUUGGGAGUUCUUCUAUUCUACCUCUUGAGCUCUUUGUGUAGUACUAAAUCCAGAGUGGUGGAUUUUAGGCUCACAUUUAAGAUUUAGGAUUUGAUUAGGAUUUGAUUUAGGAUCCAAGAUUUAUCUAAGAUUUGGUUUACAAUUUAGAAUUUGAUUAGGGUUUGGUUUAGAUUUUAGAAUUUUGGAUUUGGUUAGAAUUUAAUUAGAGUUUGGAAUUUAUCUAAGAUUUGGUUAGGAUUUGAUUUAAAAUUCAAGAUUUGAUUAGGAUUUGGUUUAGAGUUUAGGAUUUGGUUAGGAUUUGGUUUUGGAUUUAGAGUUUAGGAUUUGGAUAGGAUUUAGUUUAGGAGUUUAAGAUUUAGUUAAGAUUUGGUUAAGAUUUGAGUUAUGUCUAGGGUUAGUUAGGAUUUUGUUUAGAAUUUAGAAUUUGUUUAGGAUUUGGUUUAGGAUUUAAAGUUUAGAAUUUAGUUAGGAUUUGGCCUAGGGUUUGAUUGAAGUCCAUUAGGAUUUUAAGUAGGAUUAUAUUAGGAUUUAUUUGAGAUUUAUUUAAGAUAUAUUUGUGAUUAUUUUAAAUUUUUUUAGGAUUUCUUAAGGAUUCUUUUAAGAUUUAUUGUGGAUUUCUUUUGAAUUCUUUUAAUAUUUCUUAUUAUUUCAUUUUUAAUUUCUUUAAGGUUCUUUUGAAUUUGAUUAAAGCUUACUUAGCAUUGUUAUGGUUUAAUUAGAGUUUAUUUAGUGUCUUAUUAAAGUUAAGAUUUUAUUGCUACAAUUUUCAUUCUAUCUUCUAUAGCCGAGUGAUUAGUGCAUUUUUAAGUAAGACUUCAUGUAUUACAACAACGUAUCUUAACUUAUAAGGCAAGUAUUUUAUAUAGGCACCACAUAGUUAGCUUGUUUUAUAAGUUACCUAUAUGUGUGGUACUUGAAUAAUUUGUUGAUCAAGUUUCUAAGUUAUCAAUCAACUAUAAAUACAUGUAAAGUCAAAGCAACAUCUAUAAACCUUCUAAAAAGCUUUUCUAAAAUUUAUUAUAAUAUUAAUUAAUUUUUAUUUAGUUCUACCUAUUUAUAUUACUUAAAUAAUACUUAUAAUAAAUAUAUGUCCAUAACAUUAUUUCCUCUUUUAAGGACGAGUUCCAAGAAGAGUGGUAAUCACAUUUUGAAGAAGUUUAAAAUGUCACAAAUUACAUUUAUCAUAUAUUCUAAUCUUUCUUUCCUUCAAAAAUAGUUGAUAGGUCUUCUUAGCUAUUGAUAAUGUCUCAUUUUAAUGCAAAAAGUCUACCCUAUUUUUUGAUUAUUGUUGACACCUUUAUAACUUCUUUCAAAUAAAAUAUUAAUAAUGCCAAUAAGAAUCAUUUCUAUCUUCAAUAAAAUUGCCAAACAUCAAGACUUUCUUUUUAGGUUGUUAUAUCCAAUGCGUUGUAUCUUUCCAUCUAUUUGAAAAAAAACAUGUCACUUUUAAAGGUCUUCAUUUCUAUUAUGUUGUCUUAAAGGCUAUAAUAAUUACAAUAUCUUAUCCAAUAAGUCAGCAAAUGAUGGCUCUUGAGUUGAAUCUACUUAUUCUUAAUUUUUUAUCUCUUUAAUGCCAAUAUUACAUAAAAAUUAUAAAUAAAAAUAGAAGAUAGAAUAUAAUUUUUCUUAAAUUAUGUUUCUUUUAUAUCAAAGAUUUUUCUAUUUUCAUCUUAGUUUUGAUAAAUAUCAUUGAUGAAAGCUUUGACCUUCUGUCUUGCAUUUUUAAGAUUUUUUGCAAGCUUCCAUGUACAUUUGCUAGUAUUAUAUCUACACUAAUGAAUAAGAUAUUCCAACCUAAGUUGGUGCUACCUCAGAUCGAAGACUUCUUCUACCUCAAAUUCUUCAUUAUUAUCUAGUUUUAUAGAAAGUGGUGGAAUUUGUCUUCUUUCUAAGAUAUUUUCUAACUUAUAUGGCUCUAAGAGGAAAUACAUGAAAUGUGGAAUGGAUUUUCAUAGACUUCAGUAGAUGUAAUCAAUAAGUGAUUGAAUUGACUUGUUCACAAAUUAGAAAUGGUCCAAGUCUAUGAUAAUCUAACUUCUUACAAGAAAAAAUAUUUUUAAUAUUAUGAUAAAGUAAUCAUAUUUUAUCUCUAAUACAAAAAUGAGGUUGUUCUUAUAAUAGGCAUCCAUAUUACUUUUUUGUUGUUCUUAAGCUUCUUUUAGUUAUGCCUUUAUUAUUGUAUGUAGCUCAGAUAUAUGAUUUACUAAAUCUUUUGUCAUAAGAUAAUCAACUUUUAAAAAGUCAAAAACAUCAAAUUAUGGAUGUUAACCAUAAUUGAAAAAAAAAAUUAUUUGUUAUAUAAAAGAAUGUACCGUAUUAUUAUUAGUAAACUUUGCCAAUCGUAAAAAAAUUAUCCAAUCAUCUUAUUGAUAGUUGAUGAUAUAUUUCUAAUAUAUUCUAAAAUUUGAUUUACAUGCUCUAUUUGUCUAUUAGUUUGAGAAUGGAAAGCCAAAGAUAAUUUUAUGUCUACCUUGAGAAUCUAAAUAAUAAAUUCUCCAAAAUCUUGAUACAAACUAAGUUUCUUAUUUGAUAUAAUAUCCCUAGGCAAUCCAUCAUAAUAAUAGAUAUUGUCAAAAAAAAGCUUGGCUAUUUCUUCACCUCUGAUAGAUUUUGUAUAUGGUACAAAGUAUGCUAUCUUGGUGAAAUAAUCUACUAUCACCAAUAAAGAUUCAUAAGAACUUGAAACUAAAAGAUUUGUAAUAAAAUCCAUAGAAACAAAAGAUCAUAAUUGGUCUUAAAUGGAUAAAGGUUAAAAAAGUCCAAAAGAUUGAUGACAAGAAGUUUUUGAUUUUGAGCAAACUUCAAAGGAUAACACAAAAUAUUUAACCACUUUCUAUAUUUGGAACCACCAAAAAUUCUAAGAUGUUAAUUUUUAAGUCUUAUUGAAUCCACAAUGUAUUAUUAUUGAAAAGUCAUGACGAGCUCAAAGAACACAUAAUCGAGCUUUAACUUGUAAAAUAUAAAAGUAUCCCUUGAAAUAUUAAAAGAUUGUUUUUGAAUUCAAAGUUGGAAGUAUUAUUAGACUUUGAAGGAUUUUUCUUAAUAUUACAAAUAAGAAGGUCAGAAGACAUACUUAAUUAAACUUGCUUAAUAAAAGUUGAAUCAAUAGUUAAUUUUAAUUUCAUUGCUUGAAGAUGAAGAUGCUCUAACUUUAAGAAAAUUAUCCAUUAUUAAUCAAAAGCAAUAUUUCUUUCUUUUAGUAUAAAGUAAGAUUGUCUAAAUAGUACAUUUGAAAAACCUUGUUGUUUUCUUAGUCAAUAAGUGAUUUUGAAUUUGAAUCUUGACAAAGACAUGCUCCAACAAGCUUGGUGAUGAUUCAGAAUAGAUGUUGACAUAAAAUACUAAAGAUUCUUAUUAUAUGUAUACUCACUGAUUGAAUUAGGAAUACAUUCUAAAUAAUGGUGCUAUUCUUGAAAUAAAUCUAUCAUUGCAAAAAUUUCUUUUUCUUAGAUCUUGUAGUUGAUCUUGAUUGUUGAAUUUUUUUUAAAAUGAAAAGCUAUUAGAUGAGCUUUAUCAAUUGUUCCUAUUUGUAACAAUAUGAUACUCAAAGAAAAGUUUGAUGCAUCUAUUUUCAUAAAAAAUAGCUUAAAAAAGUUGACAUAAUAUAAGUUUAGAACAAAAUAAAGGCUUUUUUCAAAGCUUCAAAUGCUGCUUCUACUUCUUGAUUCUAUUGAAGUUUGUCUUUAAAAUUCAAACAUAUAAGUAGAGUGGCAACUUGAAAAAAGUCCUUCAUAAAGAUCUGAUAGUAGUUGACAAAUCCCAUAAAAUAUUAGACAUCUCUUAUUAUUUUUGAGAUCUUCAAUCCAUGAUAGUUUGAAGUUUAAAGUCCAUCAUUUGAAAUGAUGUAUCUCAAGAAGUUGACUUGAGUAAUGUAAAAUACAUAUUUUUUUAUUUUUAAUUUUUCAUCUUGACAUAGAAUUUUUUAUUUUUUAGAUUUUAUAUCACACAACGGACCUAAAAUUUAUGUUAUUUUAUAUUCUUAGAAUAGAUUAAGAUGUCAUUUAUAUAGCAAAUAAUAAAAUUAUCUAAAAAUUCUAAAAAGUUAUUAUUCAUUAGAAGUUGAAAAGUUGGUACAUUUUUGAGUCCAAAAGGCAUGACAUUAUAUUGAAAAUAUCCAUAUCUAAUUUUCCAUUCAUCUCCUUCUUUGAUGAGUACUACAUUAUAUGUCUUUCAUAGAUCUAUUUUUAUAUAUAUCUUAGUUUGAUUUAACCAAUCAAAAAGUCUAGAUAUCAAAGAUAACAAAUAUCUAUUUUUGAUGGUAAUCUUCUUGAAUUUUCAAUAAUUAACUUAAAUCCAUAAUGAUUUAUGUUUUUUCUUUACAAAUAAAAUUAGAGCUCUUGCUAGAGAUUUGAAAUGGCAUAUGAAGUUUUUGAUCAAAUUUUCUUAAAUAUACUCUUUUAAUUUAGCCAACUCAUUUUUUUAAUAAAUUAUAGAUUGCUCCAAAUGGCGGUUAAGCUCUUUCUUGAAGAUCAAUUGAAUAGUCAUAGGAAUAAUGUUCCAAAAGAGUAUUUAUAUUCUUCUUCUCAAAUAUAUCUUAAAAAUCUUAAUAUUGACUUGAAAUACCAUUUAAAGUCUUUUUACUAUUAGAAAUAGCUGUAGCAUAAAUGACAUAAGGUGAUCUUUCUUUUGUAGCAUGUAAAAAAGUCCUUGCACCUAUAAAUAUAGGUUUAUUUGUAUUAGACUUAUGACUUUCUACUUGAUUAACUAUAAUCUUACUUAUACUUUUAAAAAAGUCAAGACUAUGAAAAAUCUAAUCUAUUCAAGGAUUGUAUUUUUUUAACCAUGAUAAAUCUAAGAUGACUAAAUUUGAAGAAGAUCUAAUAAUAUUAAAUACCACAAAGCUACUAUGACGAUUAAUUAUUACUCUUAGAGGAAAUAUUUCAUGAAUAACAUCAUCAAAGUAUAACAAAUGACCAUCUAUGACUUUUACAUGAAUAUAUUUUAUUUUCUUUAUUAAAAAUAUGUUAUAUCUUUUAAUGAAUUCUUCAUCUAAAAUACAAGCUGAGACUCCUAAAUCUAUCAAGGUAAAAGACUUGUGAUAUUUAAAUCCUAAAUUAAUAUCUAUUAUAAAAUAAAAAAAUAAUUUUGAGCAAAGAAUAGGACCUUCAUUAGGUGAUUUUUGAAUAUUUAAUUUGUGCAAGGUUUCAACUACAUAGUCUAUAUUGUAGUUGGAAAAAAUUAUUUUUUGACAUAUUAUCUUUUUUGAUAGUUAUACUUCUCAUUUUAUGAUUGUAUCGCUUCUUUGAAAUAUAUUGAGCAGUGUGCUUUGAUUUUCUGUAAUAUAAAUAUAAUCCUUUUUUUCAAUGAUAAGUCUUUUCUUAUUCAAUAAGAAAUUUGAAAUGUACCACAACAAUUUGAAUAUCCUCUACUUUCAAAGGUAUAUAUUGAGAAGACAUUGGUGUUGCCAUUGAAUUGUAAUAACAUUAAUAGGGUAGAGAGAAUUUACCUUAAGAAAGUAUUUGGAUCUUGGCUAUUUCUAAUUGCUCAAUCAAAUCUCAAGAUAGAAAAAUAUCAAGUUUUUUAUAUAUAAUUUUUUUUCUAUAGAGUUAAUUACAUUAAUACAUAAGUCUUAAGUACUAAAAAAUAUCCAAAAUAUGGUAAAAAUAUUUUAAAUCCUUAUAUAUCUUUAAGCUGAUUUUUUUCCAAACUUCAAUAGAUCAUAUUUCAUGAUCAGACUAUCUAAACAAACUAAAACUUUUUAUGAAGUACUGAUGUACUUUAAACAAAUACUAUAACAAAUUUUAACUACAAAUUUUUUACAAAUCUUGAGAUAUUGCAAAAAUGCUAAUAGUAGCUUCAAAGCCUUAUUUGAAUACAUUCAUGUCUAAUUUUCUUCAUAUUUUACAAAUUAAAUAUUCAAAAAUAAUAUAUAUUUUAAAAAAUUUUGAUACAAAAUUUCGUUAAAAAUUUAAAAUAUAGCUCCAACCAUUACUUCUAUUAAAAUGACUCACUUACAACCUUUGAAUUACAUGUGCUAUCUUCAAUACUUUAUAAUUCCUUCAUACAAACUUCAAAUAUAAUAAUUCUUUUGUAAAGACAUAGAUAUUAAAAUUAUCCUUUUGAUUAUAUCUCCCAAUCUCUAAAAGCUAUUCUAUAAUUCUUCAUAUCUUCAAAUAAGCAAUAUUAUAUCUUAAAAAGACACAUUAACUUCAAAUGGCUAUAAUUUCAUCACCUUAACUCCAAACCUUCUAAAUUUUAUGUAAAAAUUUUAGUCCAAAUUCUUAACUUUAUAAUCUUUACUUUCAAUUCUCAAAUGAUUCAUUUAAAGUUAUCAAAAUUCUGAUUAUGGUCAUAGAUAGCCUCUUGAGAGCCUAUUGGAUAUGGCUUUUGAUCAAUAGAGAUGAAGAUCCUCAUUCCUUACCUUCAUCCAUCCAUACCUUAAGCUUCUUAGAGGUUUGGAUAUUCAUCUUUAAGCUCCAAUCUUUUUUUAAAAUUUUAUACUAAAUAUUUAAAUCCUAUAUAAUUUAAAUACUAUAAUCAAAAUAAAUAAAUCUCAAAAUAAAUUUUCUUAUAUCAACUCUCUUUAAAUUAAUCUACUAACUACUCUAAUACAUAUCAAUAUUUAUAAAUAUAUUAUAUAUUUUAAUUAAUUUUUAUAUAUAUUAUAAAUAUCUAUAGUACAACAUCCACAUCCUUUGAAUCUGCACAUCAUCUGAUAUAUACUAUGUGCUACUCCUCCUUAUCCUCUCGAGGUUUUUUUGAAUCAUUUAUAGGUUCUUUUACUUCAUAAUUUUAGUCAAAAUAUUAAAGUAAGAAUUCUUCAAGGUCUUUUAUUUUGAAUUGCAUAUUUCUUUUUUUAAAAGCCUUCACUCUUUUUUUUGCUUUUUAAAUUCUAAUGUUAGUUCUAUCGAAUUCCUGUAAAGUAUAUUUUGCAUUAUCAUAGAUUGUAACUACUAUAUAUGGUUUUAACCAUUUUUUUGUAAUUUUUUUUACAGUGCUAUAUUAUUAUUCAAACUUGCUAUCAUAAACUAGAACCUAGUCUUUAAUCUUUAUAGGCUUAAGCCUCAAUUUAUGAGUUCUGUCAAACCUUUCUUUAUUUUUUAAUCUUGCUUCCUUUAACUUUUCAUCUACAAUUUGUAGGUCUCUAGGUAACCUUCUCAAUUAUUGGAUCUAAAGUUCCAGUGGUAUUUCUCUAUUAAUAUUAUCUUUUCAAGAAAAUAACAUAUAACAUAGACUUUUCAUCUGAUAUCAUAGAUUUUUGUCAUAAAAUUAAUUCUAUAGGCAUAUAAUUAGUGAUAGUACUAUGAGUAGUCCUAUCAACGUAUAAAAUAAAUGAAAGUAGUUUAGGCCAUUGAAUUGGCUUCUCCUUAUAUGCCUUAAUUAAUGCAUAAAUGAUAAAAAAAUCACUCCUUUAAUUCUUUUCAUGGCCUUUAGGAUUAUAAAAAGCGGUCAACUUUAAUUGAAUUUCAUAUGUAUUAAAAAAUUCUCUCACUUCCAAAAUAUUGAAUUUUCUUCUAUUAUCUUUUAUUUUUCCAAUGCUAUUAUAUGUGUUGAAGAUGUCUUCUAGUAUAAAUCUACAUAUUGCUUUUGUGGUCUUGGUUCUCAAAGCCCUUCUUUCAAUAUAAUUUGAUAACUUUUUUGUUAUCAAAACUAAGUAUUUGAUAUGCCAAAGUCUUGAUGUCACGGACAUACAAUUGAAGAAGAUUUAAGAAGAUUUUAGGAGAUUCUAGAAGGAUCUAAAAAGAUUUUUGAAGAUCCAAAAAGGUUCCAAUAGGUUCUAAGAAGGUUCUAAAAGAUUCUAAUAGAUUCUAAGAAAAUUCUAGAAGAUCAUAGGAGAUUCUCGAAGGUUUUAAAAGGCUUUAGAUGAUUUAGGAAGUUCCCAAAGAAGGAUGUUAAGCUUGCUUUGUUUCCAAGCCUCAUGAAAACUUCUUAAAAAACUUCCUAAGACCUAAUAUAUAUAAGAGUCGAGGCUGAGGGAAUCCUCAAUUUUGACAACUCACUUCUUUUGGUCUAGCUAGGACCUUUUUGCCUUAUAUCUAUUAUAUCAAUUAUUGUUCUAAUGUCAAGCUAAUUCCAUUUCUUCAUUUUGAAUCCUUGUCUUAUAUAUGAUUCCUAGUAGUUUGUCGAGACUAUCAUAAAGUAAUAUUAGAAGCUUGGUCUUUUUUGAUAGAGAAAAGAUUAUUCCUCUUCUUAAAAGUAUUAAAGCAUUCUAGAGGUUGCAGAUUAUCUUUUCCUAGAUUAAUAUUAUUCUUUUUUUAAUAUUCUUUUGAUUUUUUUCUUUAUACCAUAAAUUAGUUUUUUUUUUUUUUUUUCUUUGAAUGCGUGUAUUUUUCUGAUUUUUAUAGUACAAGGUGGAAAAAUCAAUAUAAAAAAUUCCAAAGAGAUCAAGAUAGAUUCUAUUAUUAAUAGUCUUGAAGCAUUGAGGAUUAAGAAAAAGUCUUUGUUGAAGUAGAAUAAAGAAUUAUAUAUGACCAUACAUAAUGAUCAAGGAGAAGGAGUGCCUCAACCACCAUAUCAAAUGGCAAUAGAGAUUCCAAAUUUUCAAUGAUUAUAUGUGUUUUAACAAACAUGGGAGGUUCAUCUAUUCAAGGCAUUGAUUUAAAAAUAAUAAUAGCAAAAGAACCAAGGAUCAGCCUUCCAAAAAAGUUUGAUGGCACCCAUUUAUAAUUUUUUAGCUUUGUAAAUCAAGUAUAACUAAUCACGUUGCUUCAACCUUAAUGAUAUUCCACUGAAGUAUCUUGUGUUGGUUUGGUUGAAACCUUACUCUUAGUUCAAACUUUAUCUUGAUUUGCUCUAUUAUUUAAAAAUAAUUCUCUUAUAUUGCACAAUUUUGAAGCAUUUUUGAUAGCAUUUGCACAAGCAUUUGGUGAAUAUAAUAAGAUUCAUUCUUCCACAAUUAAAAUUUGAAGCCUUCAAUAAAGAACGCAUUCUACAUCAAUAUAUACCUCAGAUUUUUAAAAAUUAGCAUGUAAUAUAAAUUUGAGAGAAGAUGCAUUGAUGAGUCAAUUUUAUUAGAAAUUAAGAAACAAUGUCAAGGACUUAUUGUUGUCUAUGCUAAAUCCUCAAACUUUCAAUGAAGCUAUUAAUUAAGUUGUGAAGUAUGAUAAUCAUUUAUUUCAAUGAUGACAAGAUAAACAUUAUUCAAUUAUGCCACAUGUAUACACCAAUUAUUCUACAGCUUCUUCACCAUUCAAUUCUAAUGAUCAUAUGGAAGUAGAAGAUAUGUAGAUUGAUGUAGUUCACUUCAAACUUCUUUUGAAGCAAAAAAUAAAGCAUUGAAGAAAACUUAUCCUAUGCUUAUAUUAUAAAAAAUUUAGCCACAAAGUUGAUAAUUGUUCAAAGAAAUGCCAACGCAUAUAUCAAAUGAAGAGUGCAGCCACAUCAUCAAAACUUUUAUAAGAAAACAAGGGCGUCCAGUCAUAGUGAAGACCAUUUUUAUGUUGUAGUUCGGCUACCAUGUGAAAAUAAUGUGUUUAUAUAUUUAAUGUAUAAUUUACUCAGCAAUAUGGUGAGAGCCAUGUUAUUGGAUUUUACUUGGUUGUAGAGUGUAGUUAAAUUACUACUUUAAAAAGAUUACUAUUAGAAUUUGUAUAAUUUUUUUUUCUUUUGAUAAUGACUUUUGAAGUUGGUUUUAUUAGUAGAAAAUUUAUACAUUUAAAGUCACCUUUAUUAAACAUUGGUGACCCUUAAAGUUUUAUUUUGAUUCUUUAAUUUGGUAUUUAAGGCAUACAUUAUAUAAAUCUUGGAAGAAAAAGGAUUGGAGAAGGAUCUUAGUAACAAAAAAGAGAAGUUAGGGCAUCCAUAUAGAUGAAUGGAGAUGGAUGAUAAAAAUCUCUAUUCCUAUUGGCCAAAAAUCAUAACCAAUGGGCUUCAAGGAGGCUGCUUGAGGCCAUAUUAGGGAUUAGAGUUAGUCUUUUGUAGGGAUUCAAACAUUAGAGGCUAGAGUCGGCAAGUUUAGAUUUUUGGCUACGAUUUUGGUGUAAAUUUUGAAUCCUUUGGAAUUUUUAUCAAAAAGAUAUAGGUGCUCAAAGUAAAGGUAUUGGUUUUAUAUCUAUUAUCACUCUUUUGGAUAUAAUGCACGCAUAUAAAAAGUAACUAAGGAUCCAUGUCAUACUAUGAUUACUUAUAAUAUGUAAAAAUUAAUUAAGAUAUAUAAUAUGUUUGGAAGUCUUGAUGUAUAUUAGAGUGGUUAGUAAAUAAAUUUAAAGAGAAUUGAUAUUAGAAAAUUUAUUUAGAGAUUUAUCUAUUUUGAUUAUAGUAUUUAUAUUAUGUAAGAUUUGGAUGUUUAGUAUAAAUGUUGUUUUCAUUGUGUUCAAGCUUCAAUAUAUCAAAGCAAUUGAACUAAUAGAGAUGGAUUCGAAGAUGGAGAAAGACUAGUUAUAUGAAUUGGGUGUGUUAGUGUUACAAUUGACUGUACUCUAGCUAUCUGAAAUCAAUUAUCAAACUACAAAACACCAAGGUUUACUACUUUCGUCUUAAUUCAACACAUAAUCUAUUCUAUGACUAUCAAUUCAAUAAUACUUCCAUAUUCUUAUCAAUUCAUCUCCCACUUACUUUUUUUGUGAUUUAUAUAUAUUUAAUUACUAAUUUUUAGCUUACUUAUUAUAUUCAGUUUCUCAAUUCAUCAUACAAAAUUCAAUAUCUUCAUUUAACACAACACAAUUUGAUAAUCUCAAUUCUCAAGGUCACAGAUUUUCUCCAAAACGGUUAGUGCAAAGUCAUAUUCUACAAUAUUUUAAUCACAGUUUUAACAAUACUUCUCUCAAUCACAAUUCUUCAUAAGCAAAUAAUAAAAGCAAAGAAAAUAAAGAGGUAGCACCAAGCUUACCGGGCUUAUGACUCUCACAAUCUGGCCUUGAUCUCCCUUUUUUCAACCUCUUUAUUCUACCAAAAGAUGGAUUGUCAGCCAGUAGAUUCCAAAGGUUAUGAACUUUUGAAUUCUUAACCAUUUGUUCUACUAACAACCUACUGUUACCAACUAAACUGCUUAACCAUAAGUCUAAUUUUCAAGGUUGUCAAUAACCAACCAGUAACUUACCACAAAAUUUAUUUACAUAUUCUACAAUAAACCUUAAGAAAAGAUUGGAAUUUAGAGAUGAAAGUCUAAACUAUUAGAAGGCUUAUUGAGAGGGAUGAAAGUAAGGCAUGGUUGGAUGAAGGCAAGGAAUAGAGAUUUUCAUUCCUAUUGGUCAAAGGCUAUGUCCAAUGGGCUUCAAGGAGGCUACCCGAGGCCUUAUUAGGAAUUAGGAUUUUUCUUUAAAAUUUAUUCGAGCUUUGGAGGCUAAGUUCAGCUAGUUCAAGAUUUUGGAUAUAAUUUGGGUGAAGAGUUUAUGUGAUUUCGAGUUUUUGUGAAGGAAAUAUAGGUAUUCAAAGUUAAGGUAGAAAAUUCGUACCUAUUGUCAUUCUUUGAAGCAUAACAUAUGCGUACACAGAGCAAUGAAAGAUCUGCAAUUGGAGUUGGAGAGAACACAUUUUUGACUAUACUUUUUAUGUACUGAUUGAUGAAUUUCAAGUCUGGAUGAAGGAGUUAUAGGACAAUAAAGACAGUACAUGUAAUUCAAAGGCAGUAAGUGAGUCAUUUUGUUGAUAGUAAUGUUUGGAGCCAUAUCUUGAGUUUUUUGGACGAAUUUUUAGCUUAAAAUUUCUAUAAAUGUGAGUUAUUAAGUAAAAAAACUAUAAAUCAAAGUUUCAUGGUAUAAGAGUACUUAUUUUGUGAGAUAUGAAGAAAAUAGCACAUGGGUGUAUGUCAGCUAGGGUUUAAAGCUACUGUUAGGAUUUUGGUGAUAUUUCAAGAUCUAUAAUGAAUUUGUAGUUGAAUUUUUUUUUAUAGUUUUUGAGGAUAUAGUAAUACUUUAUGUAAAAUUUUAGGUUGUUUGGACAGUUCGAUCAUGAGAUAUGAAUUAUUAAAAUUUGAGAAACAUUGCUCUUAAGGAUAUGUAAGGUUUUAAGAUAUUUUAUCAUAGAUUUGGAUGUUUUCUUAGUACUUGGGCUUAUGUAUUGAUGUAAUUGCCUUAAAAGAGAAUAUAUUAUAUAUAUAAAUUUGAUACUUUUAUAUCUUAGACUUGAUUGAGCAUUUAGUGGCAACCAAAAGUCCAAUACUUUCUUGAGGCAAAUACUCUCUACCCUGACAUAUUGGUGCUUCCACUAAGAUAAUUAUCUCAAAAAGGUACUAAUUAUCUUAAGGCACUAAUUAUCUCAAUAAGUUGAAAUGGAAGAUCAAAAUUUAGGAUUUGGAUUAUUUAGAGGAGUAGGUGCCUUUGAUUUAUUUAAGACAUUUGCUUAAUUUAUAGAAGAAAGAUAACAGGUGCAUUGAAAGGAUAGGAGCACUACAAAGGCCUUACAAAUAGUAGUAGAUAAAGUUGAGAGGUUUCAUGGAAGGAAUAUCACCAAGUUCUUAAAGAUUUACACAUGUAAAAUACAAGUGCAUCAAGUCCCAGAAAUGAAGAUGAUCACUACUUUUGAUUUGGUAGUGAUAACAAAAAUUAGGAAAAAGGUGCAAGAGUUGCAUGUAGAAUCUAUAUCAUGGAAGAAAUUUGAAGAAUUCUUGAAAGAUGAAUUUUUUGAAGAAGAUUCAAAAAGAAUGACUAAGGUGACUUUUUUUUGGAGUGGAUUGAGUAUAGGCGAGGGAAUCAAAUGGCUCCAAAUGAAUUAAUCAGGAAAUUUGAAAUUAAAUUUGGAUAAUUACCAUGGAAAGAGAAGUAACUAUUAGAAACAAAGAAAAUUGAGUUAUUUUUGUAAGCAGCUGAUGAAUAUUUGCAAGAUAAGCUUCUAUUUUAUCUAAUAGAUAAGACAUCUGAGAGUGGUUUUAUAAAUAAUUGAAAGCUAGUAAAAGAGAAAAUGGGACUUUUGGCUAAACAACAAAAGAUUAAGACUUAUAGUUUAAUAUCAAGGUUGGAGCCAUUACCUACAUUUUACAAUCAAGUGCGACUUCAAAAAAUGAUCAAGAUUGUGAAAGACGAUACUCUUGAAGAAUUAAAUAAAGGCAUAUGAAAUUUGAAGGUGGAAAUGACUAAGUUGAAGAAAUUCCAAAUAGCAAACUCAUCAAAGAAUAUUGAAGACUUAAAGAAAUUUGUAGAUAGAUGUAUAUGGUGUGAUAAUCCAAAUCUUAAGCGUGGUGAGUGUGACAACUAUAAAGUUGCAAUUAAGGAUACUAUUGUAUAUUUCAAGAAGGAUAAGAUAAGACUCAUAAAGUCAAAUGAGCCUUUGAAAACUAAUUUUAGAAAGAAUGGCAUGAAAAAAUUGAUAGAAGAGUAAAUAUCAAAGAAUAAUGCUAUACAAAGAAAAGAAGCUCAGUUUUAUUCUAAUACAAUUGAAUAAAAAGAAGUUAAGGCUAAUUCCUUAUUAACUACAAAAAUGAUGAUCAGGGGAGCUAAAGCUAUCAAAAAAAUGACUGGGUAGAAUAAUCCAGUUGAUGCUAUUAAUAUUAAAGCAUAUUUAUGUAGAAACAAACAUCAUGAUGAUCUGCAUGAUACCAUGGUUGAGGAAAAAAGAGGUAGAGCUAUUCAUGAAGAGGAUGUUGAACUUAAAAGUAAGAAGAGGUCUUCAAGUAAUAAAAAAGCAUAUAAGAACACUUUUUCUAAAUGUAAUAAUGAUGGAAUGAGAAGUAAUAGCUAUUUAGUUCUUUAUUGAGCUAGAGCUAUUACGGAGACAUACAUGAGGUUGGAGGAUUCUAAAGAUCCAAUUUUGGCCUUAAGUGAUCAUGGAUCUAAAAUCAAUAUCAUGUCAAGAAACUUAUAUAAGAAAAAUAAGUGGCCAAUUGUAACCAAUCAUGGUUUGGUAAUUAGAGCCGCAAACAACCAACAAGGUGAUUUAUAUGGAGCUUGCCUAGCUGUGACGACUACGAUUGGAGAUGUGAAAGUGGAACAAAAUUUCUUUGUGUAAAAUUCUACUACAUAUCUCGUAAUACUUAGUCAAUCAUAUAUUACAGCUACUAGAAUGGAAACUAGAGUCCUAAAUGAUGGAUCACAUUAUGCCAAGAUUUGUAGUUGGGAUAGAAGAAAAGCUAUGCAGUUUAUUACUGUGAAACCUAUUCAUGAGAGGCAUAGAGAAUAAUUAAGAUGGAUGCCUUUGGAGCCAGAAAACAACUUUGUCGAUUCCUAGAAAGUAUCCUUGUAGAAUGGAGUCACAUGGAUGCAAAUAAGUCAUCUGCAAACCUCAUUGUAGAUAAUAUGAGUUUUGGAUUAUUAAACUUGACUAGUAAUGGAUUUGUGAGUAUUCAAAAGAUUAAAGAUUUAGAUUCUCUACAAAGAAGAAGGAUGAAGAAACAAGAGAAAAACUUUAAAAGAGUGGGUUUAGUUUGAAGUGAUGAAGCCAUAGUUGGAGUAAUAGAAGAAAUAGGUUUGGAAGAUGAUUUGAUAAAAGUUUUGGAGAAUUUAGCUAUAAGCAUAGAUGGAAAUGUUAUAGUAGAAAUAUAUUCAAAAGAGACUUAUAAAGAAUUAAAAAAGUUAGUAGUAAUUGGUGGGCUUGCUACAAGCUAUACAUUGAAAUAUAAGGAUAGAGUACAAACUAAACAUAAAGCUUUGCAAGAAAAAUAAAGCCUAUAGCUACCCAAUUACCAGUUGAUACUAUGGAAUAUAUCAAUCAAGCAAUUAAAGAGCCAAGUCAAAGACAAGGAUGUGGAAUUGGACAUCAAUUUACUCAAGAAUCAUUGGCUAAAUUGAAGAUUGGAGGGGGUGAUUUCUUGACAUCAAUGGAAAAAAUUAUAUUUCAAGAAUUGCUUAUUAAGCAUGGUAAGGCAUUUGCCUUAAUUCCUAAUGAAAUUGGAUGUGUGAAUCCUAAUGUUGUAAUACUUAUGGUAAUCUUUACUAUACCACAUGUUCUAUGGAAUUUAAAGCCUAUACCUGUGCUUAGAGCUUUACUUCCAAAGUUAAUAGAACUACUAAAAGAGAAGGUGAAGAUGGAUAUUUUAGAACCUUCAAUUGCUCCCUAUUCUAAUAGAUGAUUCACAAUACCUAAGAAGUCAGGGGCAUUAAGAUUUAUUUAGGAUAUGCAACCUGUAAAUAGAAUAUUGUCAAGGACAAGAACUCGAUGAAAGCUAAAGAGUAAGUGAGACUUUUCUCAAAAAGAAAUAGGACAAAAUAGAAAUAUGUAUAUUAAGAAAGAAACUGGAAUGACUAUUGCCAAAAUACAAGAAAACUAGAGACCCUUGAAACUAGACUAGAAGCAAGAAAGGAGUUGACAAGAGUGAAGAGGGCUUCACUCUUGCCUCUAUAUAUACUAUCUAACUAGAAGCCACGUGGCGAUGUUCUAUAAGACCUCCAAUAUAUGUUGACUUUCUAGGCCACAUGCCUUUGCUUGCAAGGCAAGUUUUCUAUGGAUGGACCACGUAGUUAGCUUGUUCUUUAAGCUUCCAACAUGUGUGGCACAUGGCUAACUUGUUGACCAAGUUUCUAACCUAAAAGUCAACUAUAGACUCCUAUAAAGUCAAAGCAGCGUCUAUGAAGCUUCUAAGAAGCUUCUCUAGAAGAUAUUACACAAUUAACCUACUUUUAUCUACUUUUACAUACUUUUAUCUAUUCAUAUAGGUAAUUAUAUGUAUGUCCGUGACAAAUAUCUAUUCAAAACAUGAAUACAAGUUUUGUAGUAGAUGAAGUGGGUGAACAAUUUGUAAGUCAUGCCAUCUAUUCUAUUAGAGACUUAUAUUUUAGAUAGGACCAAUUUCAAUUAGCUAAAGAGAGUAGGGACUUAACUACCGUGAAGACUCUUUUGGGUUUAAUGAGGAUAUAUACCUUACCUCAAGGUCCAACCAACUCAGUGGCUCAUAUACAAAAUGUUAUGAACCAAAUAUUGAAAGAAUUUAUACCUAAAAAAACUAUAUCAUUUUUAGAUGAUAUACCUAUAAAAAGAGAUAAAGAAAAAGACAAGAAUGAGAUUAUGGAGGUUGAAGGUCAUAGAAAGUUGGUUAAGAGGCAUAUUGAAGAUGUGGCUCAAAUAUUGGAGAGAUUGGAGUCAAUCAAUCUCACGUUAUCUUUGGAGAAAUUAAGCUUUGGAGUUGAUGAGAUUCUAGUGGUGGAACACAUGUAUGACAAGUAUGGUAGGAAAUCAAACCUUGAUAAAAUUGAUGCUAUAUCUAGAAUGAAGGCUUCUAAAAAUGUUACAGAAGCCAGAAGGUUUUUAAGAGCAUGUGUAUUCUAUCACAUUUAGGUGUUUUACUUUGUCCAUAUUGCAAAGCCACUAUAUAAGUUAUUAAAGAAAAGUAAGAGAUUUGUUUGGAAAGAGAAACAAAAAGUAGCUAUAGAAAAUCUUAAAAAGAUGUUGAGUUCACCACCUGUGCUUAGACAAGUGGAUUAUCAAUGUAGAAAAUCAGAAGUUGUAAUAGUGGAUACAAGCCCCAUAGCAAUUGGAAGGGCUAUUGGAAAAAAUGAUGUAGAAAGGAGAAGGUUUGCUAUAAGGUUUAGAGCCAGGAUUCUUACAAAGAGGCAAAGAACUUAUCCACAAGUUAAAAGAGAGCUUUGGAGAGCACUUACAACUUUAAAGGCUGAGAGGAAUUAUUUGAUUGGAGCAUGUAUGGUUUUGGAAAGAUAUUUUUUGCCAUUACUUGGAAUGAUAAUUAAUUAUACUACUCCAGACAUUACCAUGUUAGGAUGGAUAGCCUACAUAAGAACAUUGAAUCAUGUUUUAGUACAUAUUACUAGCAAAAAAAACUUGGUGGUGGACAUGUUGUCUAGAGUAAGAUAUACCUUUGAAGAAAAAAUGAUGGUAUAUGAAAGAGGUGAAGAUCAAGAAGAAAAGAAUUAUUGGAAUUCAUUUGCUACUAGUGGAUUGGAUUUUGGUAAUAAGAUUCAAAAAUUCUAUGAAGGUUUGUAUGAAGGCAGAUUGAAGGAUAUUAGAAUUUAUUUAAGUACAAUGAAGAAACAAGAAGGAUGGAUAGAUAAAUCAUUCAAAGAUAUUAGAAAUCAAUCCUAUGGUUAAAUGCUUAGGAAUAGAUUCAUAUAGAAGAGGCCAAAAAGAGGUGAUAAAAUCCCAUUGAGGAUAGUAAGAGAUCUUGAAACUAAGUUUAAGGUUUUAAAAGAAUAUCAUGAUACACUUUGAAAAGAGCUCAAAGGAAUUUGGGCCACAUACAUUCGGAUCAAGGAAAGGUAUUUGUAGAAGGAUUUAUACUAGGAUGCAAAAGACUUUUUGAGCUCUUGCACAAAAUCUCAACUACAAUCUAAAGUUAGGUAGAGAGAUGGAUUACAUCUUACUUAUUUACCUUCAAUAUAUUUUCAAUCGGUAAUUGAUUUGGUAGCUAUGCCAUCAGGACUUUGAGAUACGAAAUAUUUGGUUUUGGCAAGAGAAAAUUUAUCAAAUUAUGUUGAAGGGAGGGCUUUGAGAACCAAGACUACAAAGGUAAUAUGCCGAUUUAUAUUGGAAGACAUCUUUAGCAGAUAUAAUAGCAUUGGGAGGAUAAGAGCUGAUAGAGGAGAAUUGGAUGCCAUUCAAGCAAGAGAAUUUUUUAAUAGGUACAAAGUUCAAUUGAAGCUGACUACUUUUUAUAAUCCUAAAGCCAAUGAAAAGAAUGAGAGGGGUCAUCCUCCUUUCAUCUAUGCAUUGAUUAAGGCAUAUAAGAGUAAGUCAAUUCAAUGGCCUAAACUGCUUCCGUUUGCUUUAUGGGCUGAUAGAACUACUCAUAGUACUAUCAUUGGUUAUAUGCCCAUGAAGUUAAUGUUAGGACAAAAACUUAUCACGCUAGCUGAAGAAACCUAUCCUACAUGGAUGUUUUUAACUUGGAAAGGUGAUAUAAAUAAAAAAAAGAUUAUUGGAGCUUCAAAUCCAAUAAUUGGGUAGGUUACUUAAAAACCUACAAAUUAUAACUGAGAGGUUAAAGAAAGUAAGAUUGAAAAAUAAAGAAAGAUUUGAUAAGACUCAUAGGUUGAGAUCUAAGCCGAUAGAGAUUGGAGACUAGGUUCUAAUUUAUGAUAGCAGCCUUGAGCAUCAGCAUAAUACUAUAAAGAAAUUCGAAAAAAAAUAGUUGGAACCAUAUGUGGUGGUUAAAGUCCAUGAUAAUGCCACAUAUAUCUUACAUGAAUAAGAUGGAACUAUCAUAAGGAUUCCAAUAGCAAAGAAGAGGGUCAAGACUUUCAAGAGAAGAGAUGGGUGGUUUCAAAUAAAAGACCUUCAAGAAUUCUUACCUCAAUAUUUAGACUAAGAAAAUGAAGAAGAAGAGCCUAUGAGGGAUGCAAAGAAAUCUCAAGAGGAUGAAGAAGAGUAACACAUAGCACAUACUAGAAGAUGUGUAGGUUUGGAGGAGGUGGAUGUCGUACUAUAAUUGCUUAUAAUAUAAAAAAAUUAAUGAAGACAUAUAAUAUGUUUUUAAUUCUUUAUGUAGAUCAAACUAGUUAAUAAAUAAAUUUAAAUAGAAUUGAUAUAGAAAAAUUUAUUUGGAGAUUUAUUUAUUUUAAUUAAAGUGUUUAUAUUAUGUAGGAUUUAGAUAUUUAGUAUAAAACUUAAGGGAAGGUUGGAGUCUAGAGAUGAAAGUCUAAACUAUUAGGAGGCUUAUUGGAAGGGAUGAAAGCAAGGCAUGGUUGGAUGAAGGCAAGGAAUAGAGAUCUUCAUUCCUAUUGGUCGAAGGCCAUGGCCAAUGGACUUCAAGGAGACUACCUGAGGCGUUAUUAGGGAUUAGGAUUUCUCUUUCGAAUUAGCUUGUGCUUUGGAGGCUAGGGUCAGUAAGUUAAAGAUUUUGGAUAUAAUUUUGGUGAAGAGUUUGUGUGAUUUCAAGUUUUUGUGAAGGAGAUAUAGGUGUUCAAAGUUAAGGUGGAAAAUUUGUACCUACUAACACUCUUUGAAGCAUAACAUAUGUGUACAGAAAGCAAUGAAAGAUUGGCAACUGGAAUUGGAGAGAACAUAUUUUUGGCUACAUUUUACAUAUACUAUUUGAUGAAUUUUAAGUCUAGGUGAAGGUGUUAUAGGGCAUUGAAGACAUCACAUGUAAUUCAAAGGCAGUAAGUGAGUGAUUUUGUUGAUAGUAAUAUUUGGAGUCAUAUCUUGAGUUUUUUGGACGAAUUUUUAGCUCAAAAUUUCCAUAAAUGUGAGUUAUUAAAUUGAAAAGCUAUAAGUCAAAGUUUUAUGGUAUAAAAAUACUUUUUUUGUGAGAUAUGAAGAAAAUAGCAUGUGGAUGUAUGUAAGCUAGGGUUUAAAGCUACAGUUAGGAUUUUGGUGAUAUCUCAAGAUUCGUAAUGAAUUUGUGGUUGAAUUUUUUUGUUGUAGGUUUUGAUAGUAUAACAAUACUUUAUAUAAAAUUUUAGAUUAUUAAAGUUUGAGAUUAUGAGUAAUUGAAGUUUGAGAAACAUUGCUCAUAAGGAUAUACAAGGUUUUAAGAUACUUUAUUAUAUAUUUGGAUAUUUUUUUUGUACUUGGGCUUAUGUAUAGAUAUAAUUGCCCUAAAAGAGAAUCUAUUAUAUACAUAAACUUGGUACUUUUAUCUCUUAGACUUCAUUGAACAUUGAGUGGAUGCUAGAAGCCCAGCAUUUUUUAGAGCCAAAUACUCUCUACCGUGCCAUUGACAACUAGAAUUGAUCAAAGUACUUUUUCAGCUAUAUUUUACUAAAAGUGUAUAUUGAUAUUUUCUUAAAACCUUAAACUUAGAUUCAAAAUCUCCUAAUAUCCUCAAUGGGAUUUUAUCACCUCUUUUUGGCCGCUUCCAUAGGAAUCCAUUCCUAAACAAUUAACCAUAGGAUUGAUUUCUAAUAUCUUUGAAUGAUUUAUCUAUCCAUCCUUCUUGUUUCUUCAUUGUACUUAAAUAAAUUCUAAUAUCCUUCAAUCUGCCUUCAUACAAACCUUCAUAGAAUUUUUGAAUCUUAUUACCAAAAUCCAUUCCACUAGUAGCAAAUGAAUUCUAAUAACUCUUUUUUUCUUGAUCUUCACCUCUUUCAUAUACCAUCAUUUUUUCUUCAAAGGUAUAUCUUACUCUAGACAACAUGUCCACCACCAAGUUUUUUUUGCUAGUAAUAUGUACUAAAACAUGAUUCAAUGUUCUUAUGUAGGCUAUCCAUCCUAACAUGGUAAUGUCUGGAGUAGUAUAAUUAAUUAUCAUUCCAAGUAAUGGCAAAAAAUAUCUUUCCAAAACCAUACAUGCUCCAAUCAAAUAAUUCCUCUCAGCCUUUAAAGUUGUAAGUGCUCUCCAAAGCUCUCUUUUAACUUGUGGAUAAGUUCUUUGCCUCUUUGUAAGAAUCCUGGCUCUAAACCUUAUAGCAAACCUUCUCCUUUCUACAUCAUUUUUUCCAAUAGCCCUUCCAAUUGCUAUGGGGCUUGUAUCCACUAUUACAACUUCUGAUUUUCUACAUUGAUAAUCCACUUGUCUAAGCACAGGUGGUGAACUCAACAUCUUUUUAAGAUUUUCUAUAGCUACUUUUUGUUUCUCUUUCCAAACAAAUCUCUUACUUUUCUUUAAUAACUUAUAUAGUGGCUUUGCAAUAUGGACAAAGUAAAACACCUAAAUGUGAUAGAAUACACAUGCUCUUAAAAACCUUCUGGCUUCUAUAACAUUUUUAGAAGCCUUCAUUCUAGAUAUAGCAUCAAUUUUAUCAAGGUUUGAUUUCCUACCAUACUUGUCAUACAUGUGUUCCACCACUAGAAUCUCAUCAACUCCAAAGCUUAAUUUCUCCAAAGAUAACGUGAGAUUGAUUGACUCCAAUCUCUCCAAUAUUUGAGCCACAUCUUCAAUAUGCCUCUUAACCAACUUUCUAUGACCUUCAACCUCCAUAAUCUCAUUCUUGUCUUUUUCUUUAUCUCUUUUUAUAGGUAUAUCAUCUAAAAAUGAUAUAGUUUUUUUAGGUAUAAAUUCUUUCAAUAUUUGGUUCAUAACAUUUUGUAUAUGAGCCAUUGAGUUGGUUGGACCUUGAGGUAAGGUAUAUAUCCUCAUUAAACCCAAAAGAGUCUUCACGGUAGUUAAGUCCCUACUCUCUUUAGCUAAUUGAAAUUGGUCCUAUCUAAAAUAUAAGUCUCUAAUAGAAUAGAUGGCAUGACUUACAAAUUGUUCACCCACUUCAUCUACUACAAAACUUGUUUUCAUGUUUUGAAUAGAUAUUCUAUUUACAGGUUGCAUAUCCUAAAUAAAUCUUAAUACCCCUGACUUCUUAGGUAUUGUGAAUCAUCUAUUAGAAUAGGGAGCAAUUGAAGGUUCUAAAAUAUCCAUCUUCACCUUCUCUUUUAGUAGUUCUAUUAACUUUGGAAGUAAAGCUCUAAGCACAGGUAUAGGCUUUAAAUUCCAUAGAACAUGUGGUAUAGUAAAGAUUACCAUAAGUAUUACAACAUUAGGAUUCACACAUCCAAUUUCAUUAGGAAUUAAGGCAAAUGCCUUACCAUGCUUAAUAAGCAAUUCUUGAAAUAUAAUUUUUUCCAUUGAUGUCAAGAAAUCACCCCCUCCAAUCUUCAAUUUAGCCAAUGAUUCUUGAGUAAAUUGAUGUCCAAUUCCACAUCCUUGUCUUUGACUUGGCUCUUUAAUUGCUUGAUUGAUAUAUUCCAUAGUAUCAACUGGUAAUUGGGUAGCUAUAGGCUUUAUUUUUCUUGCAAAGCUUUAUGUUUAGUUUGUACUCUAUCCUUAUAUUUCAAUGUAUAGCUUGUAGCAAGCCCACCAAUUACUACUAACUUUUUUAAUUCUUUAUAAGUCUCUUUUGAAUAUAUUUCUACUAUAACAUUUCCAUCUAUGCUUAUAGCUAAAUUCUCCAAAACUUUUAUCAAAUCAUCUUCCAAACCUAUUUCUUCUAUUACUCCAACUAUGGCUUCAUCACUUCAAACUAAACCCACUCUUUUAAAGUUUUUCUCUUGUUUCUUCAUCCUUCUUCUUUGUAGAGAAUCUAAAUCUUUAAUCUUUUGAAUACUCACAAAUCCAUUACUAGUCAAGUUUAAUAAUCCAAAACUCAUAUUAUCUACAAUGAGGUUUGCAGAUGACUUAUUUGCAUCCAUGUGACUCCAUUCUACAAGGAUACUUUCUAGGAAUCGACAAAGUUGUUUUCUGGCUCCAAAGGCAUCCAUCUUAAUUAUUCUCUAUGCCUCUCAUGAAUAGGUUUCACAGUAAUAAACUGCAUAGCUUUUCUUCUAUCCCAACUACAAAUCUUGGCAUAAUGUGAUCCAUCAUUUAGGACUCUAGUUUCCAUUCUAGUAGCUGUAAUAUAUGAUUGACUAAGUAUUACGAGAUAUGUAGUAGAAUUUUACACAAAGAAAUUUUGUUCCACUUUCACAUCUCCAAUCGUAGUCAUCACAGCUAGGCAAACUCCAUAUAAAUCACCUUGAUGGUUGUUUGCGGCUCUAAUUACCUAACCAUGAUUGGUAUCAACUGACUUUUUAUUUUUCUCAUAUAUCCAAUGUCGUAUUAUUAUUGUUUACUAUAUGUAAAAAUUAAUUAAAACAUAUAUAAAUUUUUAAAUCUUGAUGUAGAUUAAAAUGGUCAGUAAAUAAAUUUAAAGAGAAUUGAUAUAAGGAAAUUUAUUUGGAGAUUUAUUUAUUUUGAUGAUAGUGUUUAUAUUAAGUUAGAUUUAGAUAUUUAGUAUAAAACUUAAGAGAAGGUUGGAGUCUACAGAUGAAAGUCUAAACUAUUAGGAAGCUUAUUAGGAGAGAUUAAAGCAAGAUAUGGUUGGAUGAAGGCAAGGAAUAGAGAUCUUCAUUCCUAUUGGUCGAAGGCCAUGUCCAAUAGGCUUCAAGGAGGCUGCCCGAUGCCUAAUUAGGAAUUAGGAUUUCUCUUUUGAAUUCAUUCGAGCUUUGGAAGCUAAGGUCAGCAAGUUUAGGAUUUUGGAUAUAAUUUCAAUGAAUAGUUUGUAUGAUUUCGAGUUUUUAUGAAGGAGAUAUAGGUGUUCAAAGUUAAGGUGGAAAAUUUGUAUUUAUUGUCACUCUUUGAAGCAUAACAUAUGCGUACACAUAGCAAUGAAAGAUCGGAAAUUGGAGUGGAAGAGAACACGUUUUUAGUCAUAUUUAUUAUAUAUUAAUUGAUGAAUUUUAACUCUAGAUGAAGGAGUUAUAGGGCAAUGAAGAUAGCACAUGUAAUUCAAAGGCAGUAAGUGAGUCAUUUUGUUGAUAGUAAUGUUUGGAGCCAUAUUUUGAAUUUUUGGACGAAUUUUUGGCUCAAAAUUUCCAUAAGUAUGAAUCAUUAAGUUAAAAACCUAUGGACCAAAGUUUCGUAGUAUUUAAAUACUUAUUUUGUGAGAUAUAAAGAAAUUAGUACAUGGAUGUAUGUAAGCUAGGGUUUAAAGCUAUUGUUAGGGUUUUGGUGAUAUCUCAAGUUGUGUAAAGAAUUUGCAUUUGAAUUUUUUUGUAAUAGUUUUUUGAAAGCAUAUUAGUUCUUCAUGUAAAAUUUAAGAUUGUUUGGAUAGUCUAGUCGUGAGAUAUAACCUAUUGAAGUUUAGGAAACAUCUUUGAUAAAGAUAUAUAAGGUUUUAAGAUACUUUAUCAUAUAUUUGGGUGUUUUUUUGGUAUUUGGACUUAUGUUUUGAUGUAAUUGCCCUGAAAGAAAAUAUAUUAUAUAUACAAACUUUGUACUUUUAUAUCUUAGACUUGAUUGAACAUUUAGUGGCAGCCAAAAGUUCAGUACUUUUUUGAGGCAAACUCUCUCUACUCUGACAUAUUGGUCCUUCCACUGAGAGAGCCUUAAGGCACUAAAUAUCUCAAUAAGUUAAGAUGGGGGAUCAAAUCCUUGGGUUUGCAUUACUAGGUGAGAUGGGUGUCCAUGAUUUAUUUAGGAUAUUUGUCCAAUUUAUGGAAAAAAGGCAACAGGUGCAUGAGAAAGUUAGGAAUACCACCAAAGCUUUACAAGUAGUCAUAGAUAAAAUUAAAAGGUUUUAUGGGAGGAACAUUACUAAGUUCUUUAAAAUUUAUACAUGUGAAAUAAAAGUGCAUUAGGUUUUAGAAAUGAAGAUGAUUACCACCUUUGAUUUGGCAGUGGUACCUGAAAUCAGAGAAAGAGUAUAAGAGUUGUAUAUUGAAACUAUAUUAUAGAAGAAAUUUGAAGAAGUCUUGAAAGAUGAAUUUUUUGAAGAAGAUUCAAAAAGAAUGAAAAAACAGACUUUUUUGGAGUAGAUUGAGCAAAGGUCAGGGAAUCAAUUGGCUCCAAAUGAAUUAAUUAGAAAAUUUGAGACCAAGUUUGGACAAUUACCACAAAAAGAGAGGUAGCUCUUAGAAACAAGGAAAAUUGGAUUAUUUUUACAAGCAGCUGAUGAAUAUUUCGAAGACAAGCUUAUCUUUUAUCUAGCAGAUAAGACAUCUGAGAGUGGUUUUAUAAAUAAUUCGAAGCUAGUAAAAGAGAUAGUGGAACUUUUGGCUAAACAUUAGAAGAUUAAGACUCGUGGUUUAAUAUUGAGAUUGAAACCAAUGCUUACAUCUCAAAAUCAAAGACCACAUCAAAAGCUGAAUAUGAUUGUUAAAGAUAGUACUCUUGAAGAAUUGAUCAAGGACAUACAAGAUUUGAAGGUAGAAAUGAUUGAGUUGAAGAAAUUUCAAAUAGUAAAUUCUUUAAAGACAAUUGAAGGUUCAAAGAGAUUUGUAGAGAGAUGUAUGUGGUGUGACAAUCCAAACCACAAGCAUGGUAAAUGUGACACUACAAAGGUGCAAUUAAGGAUGGUAUUGUAUAUUUCAAAGAAGGCAUAAUAAGACUCACAGGGUCAGAUGAGCCUUUAAAGAAAAAUUUUGGGAUAGGUGGCAUGAAAAAAUUGGUAGAAGAGCGAAUAUCAAAGAAUAAUGCUAUACAAGGAGAAGGAGCUGAGUCUUACUCUAUUACAGUUGAACAAAAAGUACUUAAAGAUAGUUUCCUACUAACUAUAGAAGUUAUGAUCAGGAGAGCUCAAGCUAUCAAAAAAAUGAGUGGAUGGAAUAAUCCAGUUGAUGCUAUUAGUAUUAAAGCAUAUUUAUGUAGAGACAAACAUGAUGAUGAUUUACAUGAUGCCAUGGUUGAAGAAAAAAGCAGUAGAGCUAUUCAUGAGGAGGAUGUUAUUGAGCCUAAAAACAAGAGGAGGUCUCUAAGAAACAAAAAAGCUUUUAAGGAGCAAAAAUCGGAGAAAAUUCCUUCUUCUACUAAUCCUGGUGGUACACCAUUAAGAAAAGAGUGGUAGGAGAAGAGCAAAGAAAAGGAGAAAGAUGAUGCAAGCAAAUCUAAAGAUAAAAAUUCUACUUAUAAACUUCAAUUUGACAUUGAAACAUCUACAGAUAUGAAGAGCAUUUUAAAAGAGAAGAUCUUAGAUGAAAAAAUUGAAUUCACUCUAAGAGAGGCUCUUGAUAUAGCUUAAAAGGAUUUCCAUGAGUUGAUCAUCAAUGUGGUAAAAAAGAAGAAGAAAAUGACAACUGAAGCUAUUAUGGUAGAGGCAUUGGAUACUCGGGUAAUUAUGGAUGAGGAAGAAGAGAUAAUGCAGGUAGUUGCAUAAUUUGUAAUGCGAGAAGCUAGAAUUAAGAUUGUUAUGGAAAAUGAGGCUUUAAAUAAAUAUGAAAAAGCUAUAGAAGAGUAUCAAAUGAAAUGUGCAUAUAUGAAAAUUAUUGAGAUAAAGAAGAAUGCACAAGAAGCAUGUAUGAACACUUGUUCUAAAUGUGAUAAUGAUGGAAUGAGAAGUAGUAGCUAUUCAGUUCCUUAUUGGACUAGAACUACUACGGAGAUAUAUGUGAGGUUGGGGACUCUAAUGAUCCAAUUUUGGCCUUAGUCGAUCAUGGAUCUAAAAUCAAUACCAUGUCAAGGCAGUGUCAGGGUAGAGACAAUUUGCCUCAAGAAAGCGCUAGGCUUCUAGCUGCCAUUAAAUAGUUAAUCAAGUCUAAGAUAGAAAAAAUCAUGUUUAUAUAUAUAAUAUUUUUCUAUUCUAGGCAAUUACAUCAAACAUUAGUCCAAGUACCAAGAAAACACCCAAAUGUAUGAUAAAAUAUCUUAAAAUCUUAUAUAUCAUUAUGAUAGAUGUUUCUUAAACUUCAAUAGCUCAUAUCUCACGAUUGGACCGUGUAAAAAAUCCUUACUUUUACAUAAAGUACUGAUAUUCUUUCAAAAACUACUACAAAAUAAUUCAACUCCAAAUUCAUUACGGAACUUGAGAUAUCACUAAAACCCUAUUAGUAGCUUUAAGCCCUAACUUACGUACACCCACAUGCUAUUUUCUUCAUAUCUUACAAAAUAAAUACUCCUAUACCAUGAAACUUUGACCUAUAGCUUUUUAACUUAAUAACUCACACUUAUGGAAAUUUUGAGCUAAAAAUUCGUCCAAAAAAUGAAGAUAUGGUUCCAAACAAUACUAUCAAUAAAAUGACUCACUUACUGUGUUUGAAUUACAUGUGCUCUCUUCAUUGCCCUAUAAUUCCUUCAUCCAGACUUGAAAUUUAUUAAUCAAUAUAUGAAAAGUAUAGCCAUAAAUGUGUUCUCUCCAACUCCAAUUGCUGAUCUUUCAUUGCUCUCUGUACGCAUAUGUUAUGCUUCAAAGAGUGAUAGUAGGUACAAAUUUUCCACCUUAACUUUGAACAUCUAUAUCUCCUUCACAAAAACUCGAAAUCAUACAAACUCUUCACUGAAAUUAUAUCCAAAAUCUUGAACUUGCUGAUCCUAGCCUCCAAAGCUCAAAUUAAUUUGAAAGAGAAAUCCUAAUCCCUAAUAAGGCCUCGAGCAGCCUCCUUGAAGCCCCUUAGCUAUGGCCUUCGACCAAUAGGAAUGAAGAUCUCCAUUCCUUGGCUUCAUCCAACCAUAUCUUGCUUUAAUCUCUUCUAUUAAACCUCCUAAUAGUUUAGACUUUCAUCUCUAGAUUCCAACCUUCCCUUAAGUUUUAUACUAAAUAUCUAAAUCCUAUAUAAUAUAAACACUAUAAUCAAAAUUAAUAAAUCUCUAAAUAAAUUUUUCUAUAUCAAUUCUCUUUAAAUUUAUUUACUAGCCUUUCUAAUCUACAUAGAGACUUAAAAACAUAUUAUAUGUCUUAAUUAAUUUUUACAUAUUAUAAGCAAUUAUAGUAUGACAUCCACCUCCUCCAAACCUGCGCAUCUUCCAAUAUGUGCCAUGUAUUAUUCCUCUUCAUCCUCUUGAGAUUUCUUUGCAUCCCUCAUAGGCUCUUCUUCUUUAUCUUCUUGGUCUAAAUAUUGAAGUAAGAAUUCUUGAAGGUCUUCUAUUUGAAACCACCCAUCUCUUCUCUUAAAAGCCUUGACCCUCUUCCUUGCUAUUGGAAUCCUUAUGAUAGUUCCAUCUUACUCACGUAAGAUAUAUGUGGCAUUAUCAUGGACUUUAACCACGACAUAUGGUUCCAACUAUUUUUUUUCGAAUUUCUUUAUAGUAUUAUGCUGAUGCUCAAGGUUGCUAUCAUAAAUUAGAACCUAGUCUCUACUUUCUAUAGGCUUAGACCUCAACCUAUGAGUCUUAUCAAAUCUUUCUUUAUUUUUCAAUCUUACUUUCUUUAUUUUUUAAUCUUACUUUUUUUAACCUCUCAACUAUAAUUUAUAGGUUUUUAAAUAACCUACCCAAUUAUUAGAUUCGAAGCUCCAAUAAUCUUUUUUUUUUAUUUAUAUUAUCUUUUCUUAGAUAAAAACAUCCAUGUAGGAUAGGUUUCUUUAGCUAGCAUCAUAGGUUUUUGUCCUAACAUUAACUUCAUGGACAUAUAACCAAUGAUAGUACUAUGAGUAGUUCUAUCAGCCCAUAAAGUAAACGGAAGCAGUUUAGGCCAUUGAAUUGAUUUACCCUUACAUACCUUAAUCAAUGCAUAAAUGAAAGGAGGAUGACCCCUUUCAUUCUUUUCAUUGGCUUUAGGAUUAUAAAAAGUAGUCAGCUUCAAUUGAACUUUGUACCUAUUGAAAAAUUCUCUUGCUUGAAUAGCAUCCAAUUCUCCUCUAUCAACUCUCAUCCUCCCAAUGCUGCUAUAUCUGCUAAAGACGUCUUCCAAUAUAAAUUGGUAUAUUGCCUUUGUAGUCUUGGUUCUCAAAGCCCUCCCUUCAAUAUAAUUUGACAACUUUUCUCUUGCCAAAACUAAAUAUUUCAUACUCCAAAGUCCUGAUGGCAUAGCUACCAAAUCAAUUACCGAUUGAAAAUAUAUUGAAGGUAAAUAAGUAGGAUGUAAUCCAUCUCUGUACCUUACUUUAGAUUGUAGUUGACAUUCUGUGCAGGAGCUCACAAAGUCUUCUACAUCCUAGUAUAAAUCCUUUCACCAAUACAUUUCCUUGAUCUUGGUAUAUGUAGCCCAAACUCCUCUAUGCCCUGCCUAAAGUGUAUCAUGAUAUUCUUUUAAAACCUUAAACUUAGUUUCAAGAUCUCCUACUAUCCUCAAUGGGAUUUUAUCACCUCUUUUUGGCCUCUUCUAUAGGAAUCCAUUCCUAAGCAAAUAACCAUAGGAUUGAUGUCUAAUAUCUUUGAAGGUUUUAUCUAUCUACCUUUCUUAUUUUUUCAUUAUACUUAAAUAAAUUUCAAUAUCCUUCAAUCUUCCUUCAUAUAAACCUUCAUAGAAUUUUUGAACCUUAUCACCAAAAUCCAUUCCACUAGUAGCAAAUGAAUUUCUAUAACUCUUCUCUUCUUGAUCUUCACCUCCUUCGUGUACCAUCAUUUCUUCUUCAAAGGUAUAUCUUACUCUAGACAACAUAUCCGCCACCAAAUUUUCUUUGAUAGUAAUAUGUAUUAAAAUAGGAUUCAAUAUUUUUUUGUAGGCUAUCCAUCUUUAUAUGGCAAUGUCUGGAGUAGUAUAGUCAAUUAUCAUUCCAAGUAAUGGCAAAAAAUCUCUUUCCAAAACCAUACUUGUUCUAAUGAAAGCAAUUAUAGUACGACAACAGUGCUGUUGAAUUCUUUACUAUUACAAAUCAAAAAAGGUCAUAUACUCUCUACUAGCCUUUGUUAUUGUUUUACUAUACCUAUACACUUAGAAGUCACAAAACUAGAGUGUGAUGCAUUACUGGACUCAAGAGCCCCUGCAUGUUUUAUUGAUAAAGAAUUUUUUAGAUCAUACAAAAUCUGUAUGGUCAAAAAAUCCAAAAACUGUUUAUAUAGAAGUAAUAGAUGGCUAACCUUUAUUCUCUGGAGACGUCACUUAUGAGACAAUUGUAUUAGAAAUAACCUUUGACAAUUAUAGCAAUCAAUUAGUAUUCAAUGUCAUUUGAUCACCAUCAAGUCCAAUCAUUUGAGGACUCUCAUGGCUUGAAAAAUACAAUCCAUGGAUAGAUUGGAUAUCCUCAAAGUUAGAAUUUUUUCUAAUAGAUUAUAGAAUUUUCAGAUCUAUGAAAAAACUUCUAAUACUUAACAAGCCAAGACUUAAAUAAUAUUUAUUUAUUGAAGCUAAAGCAUUUAUGAAGGCGACCAAAUAAGGCACUGCAUUUUUUGUCUAUACAAAUCCAUGAUUGGAAUAUGUGGUUGCUACAACAACAAUUUCAAAGGCGUGAAGAGACAAUAAGAUUGUGUAUUAAUAAUAUCUAUUAUUAUAUUGUAUCGGAUUGUGGGCCAUAAUUUGUAUCAAGAUUUUGAAAGGUAUUCUUUAAGAUUCUUAAGAUUUACGUCAACCUUUCUUCUAUCUUCCAUCCUCAAACUGAUGGCUAAAUGGAACAAGUCAACUAAAUUCUUGAGCAAUAUUUGAAGUGCACAAUCAUCUAUCAACAAGACUACUAGACUUCUUACUUAUUGUUGGAAAAGUUUGCAUAUAAUAAUAUAAUCCAUGCAUCUACACAAUAAAUAUUAUUCUACUCAAAUUACGAUCAUUAUUCAAAGUUGAAUAUGAUAGAACCUUUAAAGUCAGCAAAUCCAGCACUAGAGGAAUUUGCUACGAAGAUGAUCGAACUUCAAGCAACUAUGAAGACUCAUCUCGAAAGGAUUCAAUAACAUUAUAAGCUAGUAGCAGAUGAAUUGAGGAAGGAACAUCCUCUAUUCUAAAUUGGUGACAAAGUAUGGCGUCUUUGGUAUAAUAUAAAAACUAACAAGCUAUGUGAUAAGUUGGACUACUGAAAGUUGGGACCAUUCAUGAUUCAGAAAUAAAUCAAUAAUUUAAUUUAUCACUUGAAAUUACCUUUAUCCAUGAAGAUUCAUCGAGUCUUUCAAGUUUCACUAUUAAAAAGGUAUAAAGAAUCAAAUAUACAAAGUUAAAAACAACCACCACUUCUUAUGGUUGAAAUCAAUGAUCAUAUUGAAUUUGAGGAAGAAGAGGUAUUAGAUUCAAAGAUAAGAUAUGGAAGGCUUGAAUAUGUAGUCCAUUAGCUUAGAUAUGAUAUCAACAAUUGUACAUGUGAAUUAGCUGUCAACCUUAUAAAUGUACAAAUAAAGAUUCAAAAGUUCUAUCAAUGACAUUCAUCCAAACCAAAAGCAACAAAAUGAGGAACAAUAGCUUAGUAAAAUAACUUCAUCAUGAAGAUUUUUAGUUCUUGGCUUCAUAAAGAAGGAAAAGAAGCAGCCUUCGAAAAGGUAAUUUUUUCAAAUAUUUAGAACAAUAUAAGUCAGUAGUUUGAAUUCAUGACCAUAGUCUAUUUAUAUUCUUUUGGUCUUGUCUACUUUAUGUGAUAUGGAUAGUCAACAGAUAGAUACCUUGCCAAUCAUACCAUUUCAACCAAGUAGCUUGUGAAGAUAACUUCAAGAUGAAGAGCCGCCUGAACCAUGAAGACAUCAAAAGAUACCUAGUAACAAGUCAUUGGUAAUUGUAUUUGAGGUAGAACUUCUUAAUGAAGGAUACCUAGAAUAAAUAUUUGUAGGACAAUUCUAUAAUGAAGAUAUCAAAGUUCAUGUUUGAUUACAAAUAGAAGACUUAGAGUACUAUUGAUGGCUACAAGGGCCUAUAAAUCAUUUGCUUCAAGAAAAACAACUAGAAUAUAUACUACACACCAUGUAAUAGAUCUUCAACUUCUUAUGCAUAUACUGAUGUAUAGCAACAUUGUUUCUAGGAGACCUCAAAGCCAAAAGAGGAGGUGAUGUCACAGACAUAUAAUUGAAGAGGAUUUGAGAAGGUUCUAAGAAGAUUCUUGUAGAUCUUAGAAGAUUCCAAAAGAUUCUAGUAGAUUUUAAGAAGGUUCUUGUAGAUCCUAGAAGGUUCAAAAAGAUUUUAGAAGCUUCCAAUAGAUUCUAAGAAAGUUCUAGAAGGUUAUAGAAGAUCUUCAAAGGUUCUAAGAGGCUUUAGAUGAUUUAGGAAGUUUCCAAAGAAGAAUCUUAAGCUUGCUUUAUUUUCAAGCUUCAUGAAAACUUCUUGAUAAGCUUCCUAAGACAUAAUAUAUAUAGGAGUCAAGGCUGAGGAAAUCUUUAGUUUCAACAAUUCACUUCUUAUGGUCUAGCUAGGACCUUUUUGCCUUAUAUCUAAUUAUUGUUCUAAAGUCAUUUUAAUUCUAUUUCUUUGUCUUGAAUCCUUAUCUUGUAUAUAGUUCCUAAUACCUGAUGGUAUAGCUAUCAAAUUAAUUUUUUAUUGAAAAUAUAUAAAAGGUGGAUAAAUAGGAUGUAAUCCAUUUCUAUACCUAAUCUUAAAUUGUAAUUGACAUUCUAUGCAUGAGCCCAUUAAAUCUUCUACAUCCUUAUAUAAGCCCUUCUACUAAUAUCUUGCUUUGAUCUUGGUAUAUAUGGCCUAAACUCUCUUAUGUCCUAUCUAAAAUAUAUCAUGAUAUUCUUUUAAAACUUUUAAUUUAAUUUCAAGGUCUCUUACUACCUACAAUAGAAUUUCUUUACUUAUUUUUAUUCUCUUCUAUAAAAAUCAAUCUAUAAGGAGAUAACCAUAAGAUUGGUGUCUAAUAUCUUUGAAGAUUUUAUCUAUUCAUUUUUUUACUUCUUUAUUAUACUCAAAUAAAUUCUACUAUCUUUCAAUUUGCCUUCAUACAAACCUUCAUAGAAAUUUUGAAUCUUAUCACUAAAAUUUAUUCUAUCAAAAGUAAAAAAAAAAAAAUUGUAGCUCUUUUCUUCUUGAUCUUCACUUCUUUCAUGUGUCAUCAUUUCCUCUUCAAAGAUAUAUCUAGCUCUAGACAACAUAUCUCCUACCAAAUUUUCUUUACCAAUAAUAUGUAUUAAAAUAAGAUUCAAUGUUUUUAUGUAGGCUAUCCAUUUUAAUAUGGCAAUGGCUAGAGUAAUGCAAUUAAUUAAUAUUUCAAGUAAUAGCAUAUAAUUUAUUUUCAAAACCAUACUUGCUUUAAUCAAAUAAUUUUUUUUGGCCUUUUAAGUUGUGAGUACUAUCCAAAGCUCUCUUUUAACUUGUAGAUAAGUCUUUUGCUUUUUUGUAAGAAUCUUGGUUCCAAACCUUAUAACAAAUCUUAUCUCUCUUACAUCAUCUUGUCCAAUAGCUCAUCCAAUUGCUAUAGGACUUAUAGCUUUUAUUACAAAUACUGAUCUUGCAUAUUAAUAAUCUACUUGUCUCAAGACAAGAGAUGAAUUCAACAUCUUUUUAAGAUUUUUCAUAGCUAUCUCUUGUUCUUAUUUCCAAAAAAAUCCUUUAUCCUUCUUUAAUAACUUAUAUAGUAGCUUUGAGAUAUAGACAAAGUGAAGCACUCAAAUAUGAUAGAAUAUAUAUGCUCUUAAAAAUCUUCUAGUUUUUGGAUAUGAUCAAUUUUAAUUGACUAAAAUAAAAUAAAUGGCAUGACUUACAAAUUAUUAAGCUACUUCAUCUACUAUAAGACUUGAUUCCAUAUUUUAAAUAGUUACUUUAUUUACUGGUUCCAUAUCCUGAAUGAACCUAAUGCCUCUGAUUUCUUAGAUACUAAGAACUAUCUAUUAAAAUAGGAAGCAAUUGAAGGUUCUAAAAUACCCAUCUUCACCUUUUCUUUUAAUAAUUCUAUCAAUUUUGGAAGCAAAACUUUAAGUAUAGGUAUAGGCUUUAAAUCUCAUGGAACAUGUCGCAAUAUAAAGAUUACCAUAGGUAUUACAAUGCUAGGAUCCACACAUCUAAUUUCAUUAGAAGUUAAGGCAAAUGCCUUACCAUUUUCAAUAAACAUUUUUUAAAAUAUAUUUACCUCUAUUAAUGUUAAGAAAUCACCCUCUCCAAUCUUCAACUUAGAUAAUGAUUCUUAAGUAAAUUGAUAUUUAAUUAUGUACCUCUCUCUUAAACUUAAUCCUUUAAUUGCCUCCUUGAUAUAUUCCAUAGUGUCAAUUGAUAACUAAGUAGCUAUAGGUUUUUCCUUUCUUGCCACAAUUUUAUAUUUAAUUUGAAUUCUAGUCUCAUCUUUCAAUCUAUAGCUUAUAGAAAUUCCAACAUUUGCCACCAUCUCUUUUAAUUCUUCAUAAGUUCUUUUUGAGUAUAUUUCUAUUACAGCAUCUCUAUCCAUGCUUAUAGCUAAAUUUUCUAGAAUUUUUUAUUAAAUCAUUCUCUAAACCUACUUCUUCUAUUACUCCAACUAUGGCUUCAUUAUUUAAAACUAAAUCCACUCUUUUUAAGUUUUUUUUCUUUUUUUUUCAUCCUUCAUCUUUUAUAGAAUCUAAAAUUUUAAUCCUUUGAAUAUUCACAAAUCUAUUAUUAAUCAAAUUUAAAAGUUAAAAAUUCAUAUUAACUACAUUGGAAAUUACAAAUGAUUUAUUUGCAUCCAUGUAUCCUCAUCCUAUAAGGAUGCUCUCUAAAAAUCUACAAAGUUAUUUCUUGGAUCCAAAGGCAUCUUUCUUAGUUAUUUUCUAUGUUUUUCAUAGAUAGGUUUCAUAAUAAUAAAUUGCACAACUUUUUUUUAUCCCAACUACAAAUCUUGGUAUAAUACAAACCAUCAUUUAAAACUCUAGUCUCCAUUCUAGGAGUUAUAAUAUAGGGCUCACCAAGUAUUAUUCAAUAUGUAGCAAAGGUUUUUACGAAGAAUUUUUGCUCUACUUUCAUAUCUCUAUUCUUAGUCUUUAUACCUAAACAAGCUCCAUAUAAAUCACCUUGUUGAUUGUUUACAGCUCUAAUUAUCUAACUAUGGUUGAUAUCGAUUGGCCACUUGUUCUUCUCAUAUAUCCACCUUGCUAUGAUGUUGAUUUCAGAUCCAUGAUUAAUUAAGGCCAAAAUUCGAUCUUUAGAGUCUUUCAACAUCACAUAUGUCUCUAGAGUAGCUUUAAUCUAAUAAAGAAUUGAAUAGCUAUUACCUCUAAUUUUAUCAUUAUUACAUUUAGAUUAGUAUUUAUACAUGCUUCUUCUACAAUCUUCUUUACUUCCAUAGAUUUCAAAGAUGUAAAUUUUAUUUGAUAGUUUUCUAUAAGCUCAACAUGUUUAAAUAAAGCCUCAUCUUUUAUAUCAACCUUACUUCCAAUUUCUAGUAUUACAAACUAUGUAAAUACUUGCCCUAUUUCUUCUUCUUCAUUUGUAAUUAUCUACAUAUCUAAUGUCUCUACCAUAAAAGCUUUGGUUGCAAUUUAUUUCUUCUUCUUUAUCACAUUAAUAAUCAAUUUAUAAAAAUCAUUUUUGGCUGUACAAAGACCCUCUCUUAAAGUGAAUUCAAUUUUGACAUCUAAGAUCCUCUCUUCUAAAAUAUUUUUUAUAUCUGUAGAUAUUUCAAUAACAAAUUGAAGCUUGUAAGUAUGAUUCUUACCUUAAGAUUUGCUUGAAUCAUCUUUCUUCUUAUCUUUGUCCUUCUCCUACUAUUCUUUUGGUAAUGAUGCACCACUAGGAUGAGUAGAAGAAAGUAUCUUAUUUAAUUUCUGCUCUUUAAAGGCUUCUUUGUUCCUUGGAGACCUCCUCUUAUUUUUAAGUUCAACAACAUCUUCUUAAUGAAUAGCUUUACUUCUUAUUUCUUCAACCAUAACAUCAUAAAAAUCAUCAUCAUAUUUGUUCCUUCAUCAAAAAUAUUUAAUGCUAAUAGUAUCAAUUGGAUCAUUCCAUCCAAUUAUUUUUUUGAUAGCUUUAGCUCCUUUAAUCAUGGCUUUUAUAGUUUGUAAAGAAAUAGCCUUAACUACUUUUUAUUCAAUUAUAAAAGAGUAAGGCUUAGCUUUUUUUCUUUAUAUGGCAUUAUUUUUUACAUUUGCUCCUCUACUAAUUUUUGCAUGCCGUCUUUUUGAAAAUUAUUCUUCAAAGGUUCAUCUAACCUUCUAAGUCUUAUCCUUCUUUCUUUAAAAUAUACAAUACCAUCCUUAACUGUAAUCUUAUAAUGGUUAUGCUCACUACGCUUGCGGAUUAAAUUGUUAUACUACAUACAUCUCUCUACAAAUUCUUUUGAAUCUUUCAUUAUAAUUAAUGAGCUUGCUAUCUAAUAUUUCUUCAAUUCAUUCAUUUCCAUCCCCAAAUCUUAUAUAUCCUUAAUCAAUUCUUGAUGAGUAUCAUCCUUGAUAGUAUAUAUCACCUUUUAAAGUACUAUUAAAUUUUGAAAUAUAGACAUUGACUUUAGCCUUGAUACUAAAUCAAAGAUCUUAAUCUAUUGUUACUAAACCAAAAGAUUGAAUAUCUCUUUAACUAGCCUCUUAUAAUAACUAUAAUCACUCUCAAAUAUCUUCUUUCUAAAUAAAAAAAUAAUUUAUUUUAUUUUUUUAAAAGUUAUCUUUUUAAGAAGAUAAUUAUCUUAAUUUAGUUUAAAAUUCCAAAAUUAGUUCAUUAGGAGCCAUUUGAUUUCUUGGCCUUUAUUCAAUCUACUCCAAAAAGAUUUUUUUUUUCAUUCUUUUGAAAUCUUCCUCAAAAAAAUCAUCUUUCAAGAGUUCUUUAAAAUUCUUUCUUUACAUAGCUUUAAUAUGUAACUUUUGUAUCUAUCCUCUAAUUUCUAGUAUCAUUGCCAAAUCAAAGAUGGUAAUCAUCUUCAAUUCUAAAACUUGAUGCACAUAUGCACAUAUAUGUGUAAAUCCUUAGGAACUUAGUGAUGUCACUCUCAUCAAACCUUCCAAUCUUAUCCAUCACUACUUGUAAAGCUUAGGUGGUGUUUCUAUCCUUUCAAUGCACUUAUUGCCUCUCUUUUAUAAAUUGAGCAAAUACCUUGAAUAAAUCAUAGGCACCUAUUCUACUUCGUAAAGAAAACCUUGGGAUUUGAUUUUCCAUCUUGACUUGUUGAAAAAUUUGGUGCCUUGAGGCUCUUUCAAUGGAAGCACCAAUAAAGUUUGGGUAGAGAGAAUUUGUGUCAAAAAAGCGUUGGGCUUUUGGCUAUCACUAAUUACUCAAUCAAGUCUUGAGAUAAAAAAGCAUCAAGUUAUCUUUCUAUAUAUAUAUAUAUAUAUAUAUAUAAGUAUUCCUAUAGAGGUAAUAACAUCAAUACAUAAGUUCUAAGUACUAAAGAACAUCCAAAAUAUGAUAAAAAUAUUCUAAAUCCUUAUAUAUUCAUGAGGUGAAUUUUAUCAAAACUUCAAUAGAUCAUAUCUCAUAAUCGGAGUAUCCAAACAAACUAAAAAUUUACAUGAAGUAUUGAUGUAUUUUAAAAAAAUACUACAACAAAUUUUAAUUGCAAAUUUCUUAAAAAUCUUGAGAUAUUACUUAAAUACUAACAAUAGCUUUAUAGCCUUGCUUGAAUAUAUCCAUAUGUAAUUUUUUUUAUAUCUCACAAACUAAAUAUUCAAAUAUCAUAAAAUAAUUUAUUUAUAAUUUUUCAACCUAAUAACACAUAUCUUUAGAAAUUUUGAGCCAAAACUUUGUUCAAAAACUCAAGGUGUAGUUCCAACUAUUACUAUCAAUAAAAUGAUUCACGUUCUGCCUUUGAAUUACAUGUAUUGUCUUCAAUGCUUUAUAACUCCUUUAUACAAACUCCAAAUAUAACAAUUCUUUUGUAAAGACAUAAAUUUUGAAAUCAGCCUUGUGAUUGCACUCUUGAUCUUCAAAAUCUAUUAUAUAACUCCUUGUAUUUUUAAAAGAACAACAAUAUGUCUAAAAAAGACACAUUAACUUCAAAUGGCUACAACUUCAUCACCUUAAUUCCAAACCUUCUAAACUUUAUGCAAUCCUUGCUUCUAAUUCUCAAAUGUUCUUUUUGAAGUUGCCAAAAUCCUUAUUAUGGUUGCAGAUAGCCUCUUGAGAGCCUAUAGGGCAUGGCUUUCAAUCAAUAGAGAUGAAGAUCCUCAUUCCUUAUCUUCAUCCAUCCAUACUUUGCUUUCAUCCUUCCAAAUAAGCUUCUUAGAGGUUUGUAUCUUCAUCUUUGAGUUCCAAUCUUUUCUUUAAAUUUUGUAUUAAAUAUUUAAAUCUUAUAUAAUUUAGAUACUACAAUCAAAAUAAGUAAACCUCAAAAUAAAUUUUCUUUCAUCAACUCUCUUUAAAUUAACCUAUUAAUCACUCUAAUACACAUCAAUACUUAUAAAUAUAUCAUGUGUUUUAGUCAAUUUUUACAUACUAUGAAUAAUUACAAUACAACAACAUUGAGGCCUACUUAUGCAAUUUUCGAAUAAAAAUUUAAAAAGUCGAUUGUCAUUCUUUAAAGCAAAAUCAAUUACUUGACUCAAUGUUUGAGGAUUAAGUAAAUUGACCAUCAAUUUCUUUACCUCAUAUUAUAAUCCAUAAAGAAAUUGGCUAAUGAGUGUAGUAUCAUUCCACUUGAUAUCAAUCACAAGUUGUCAAAAUUGUGAAAUAUACAAUAUUAUAGAUUGAUUAACUCCCUCAAAUAUACUAGAAUUUGUACCAUUGCACUAUUCAUUUUGACAAGCUCUAUUAUAAUAACACUUAGAAGAAAAGAGAUGUCUAAUAUUGCUAAAGUUAAGUAAAAGAAAGAACUUGAGAACAAAAAGAAUAAUAUCAAAUUUAAAAGAGGAUAAUCCACAACAUCUAAUAUGCUUAUGUCUUAUCAAGAAAAAAAGAUAAUCCAUUCUUAAUCAAGAAAAGACAAAGCUUUGAUAUUGUAAGUGUAUUCUUGUCAAUCUCUCAAAGAUAAGAACUCAAAGAAAACAAAUAUACAAGUGAGACUUUUUCAAAGAAGUAUAACAAAUAUAUAUAUAUAAAAAAAAAUAUGUAUAUUAAAAAGAAACUAGAAUUACUAUUGCCAAAAUACAAGAGAACUAGAGACUUCUUAAAACUAAACUAGAAGCAAGAAAGGAAUUGACAAGAAUGAAGAAGGCUUCAUACUUACCUCUAUAUAUAUUAUCUAUCUAGGAGCUACAUGGCAACAUUCCAUAAGACCUCCAAAACGUGUUGACUUUGCACAACACGUAUCUUGACUUAUAAGGCAAGUUUUUAAUAUGGGUGCCAUAUAGUUAGUUUUUUUCGCAAGCUACCAACAUGUGUGGCACAUGCUUAACUUGCUGACCAAGUAUCUAACCUACCAAUCAACAACAAAUACAUGUAAAGUCAAAGCAACAUCUAUAAAGCUUUUAGGAAGCUUCUUUAAAAGUUAUUAUGAAAUUAAUCUACUUUUAUCUACUUUUACCUAUUCAUAUUACUUGAAUAACAAUUACAAUAAAUAUAUGUCCGUGACAAGUUGACAAUUACAAAAUCAACUAAUAGUGAAAACUAAGUAGAUAGAAUUCUCUACCAUCAUAUUUGUAAAAGUAUACUUAGAAAAAAAAAAAUCAAAUUAUAUUAUAUUAACACCAAUAUACAACCAACAAAAGUUCUUACUAAACCAUUAAAAAGAGUGAAAUUUGAAACAUAUAGAUAAGCCUUGAGACUUAAAAGCCUAAUUACAUUGUGCAAUAGAAUAAGAAUGGUUGUCAUUUCUUACUUCUUUGCUUAGUAACCAUGUGGUGAUAACAAAGACCAUCUUACAUAUAUGGAGGUUGGCUAACCUUUAUUUAAAAAUAAUUGGUCAAAUGAUUGCUACUUUUUUCAUUUAACCAACUUAAAUAAAUUUAUCCAUAUCUCUAAUUUCUUCACCAAACUACUAUUGAAAAUGUAGCUAAUGAAUUAGAUAUUUUCGAAACAUAUAUAAAAUCUUAUAGAUGUAAUAAACUUUGGAGUAAAAAUUUUAUUCUUUUAAAUCGAUGUUUAAUAAUUUGAUAUUCAUAGUAACAUGAUUUAGUAGUAACACCUUUUAAUCCAUGUCCAAUACAAGUCCUUAAACAUUUACAUUAAAACUAUACUUACAAGAUGACAUUAUUAAACUAAAAAAAUAUGCAUGUAAGAUAAUUCCAAUUAGAAUCUAUAAAUUUCUUAUUAUAAUUUUUUAAAAACAAAGUACCAAAAUAUUAUUAUUUUAAUAUCCUCUAAGUUAAAUCCAUAUAUUAAGUAGAAACAAUUAUUCUAAUAAAUAAUGAUAAAAAUUAGACAUCUUGCAAUAAAAUUUCUUUUUAAAAAUAGAUACAUAACAUGAAAAAUAUCCCAUAAAUAGCUAACACCAUCAAAACAUUUGACCAAAUAUGCACUUUUAGAUGUGUCAAGACAAAAAGAAAUAUUUGCAAGAUUUUGGAGUAUCUAAACUAAUGUUUGUCCUCUUUGCACUAUGAGUAGGAUUUCUUUUAUUUUGUUUAGUGAAAAGAUACAUUGCAAUUUGUUUUCAUAAUAAAAACUAUACUAAUGAAAUAGUGCUAAAAAAUAACAAGAUUAAAAAAACAUAACCCUUCUUACAACCUUAAAUCCUUCUAAUUAGACUACCUCAAAGUUGUGCCAUUUAGCACAAAAACCAUUCUUUUAAAUCUACUUAACCCUCCAAUUUCCAAUGAGCUUCAUGUGCAUACACAAGCAUGCUUUCUUUCUUUCUUUCUUGAAGAAAACUUAUCUGAACAAACGUUAAUACUCUACUUGUUGAUGAAAGUGGAACUUUGACCACAUACAGGCUUGGUGAUGUACUUUGUAUAUCUCCUCACAGUUAGUCUGGUGCAAUCCAACCAUGCACAUAGAAUAUGAAUGGGGACAUGCUUCCAGCCACUCGGGUGUGCAGAAAACUUGACAAGCGAGAUUCAAGCAACGGCGACUACGACGCCGAUCACGCAAUACAAAGCAUUGUUAGUAUGUGAUAAACCAGAGAAAGAGAUCGAGUAUGUGCACACAAAAACACACAGAUCCACAGGUAUUGUCUACGGCGCCACCACCAUCCGUCAAAGCUACCAUCUCGUCGAGGAAGAAUGGUAUUUCUAAAACUAGCAAUACAACCGCUGAUGGAAACAACCGAAAGCUAUGUCAUUGGAGAGGGCGCACGAGUUCAUGGAAUACACAGUGAGAAGAGAUAAAGAAAUAAAAUAAUAUAAAAUACAAGUGUGCAUCAGCAAGACAUGGCCGAAAUCUAACAACUGUCUGCACAUGCUGUGGUGGGUUGUAUCCACGCGCUGGAGGAAGUAACUUUCCUACAUGCACAGAAAAACAUUUUCAGAUUAGAAAGCUCUUCUGUUCUAGCUAAUCUCUAGUACCAAGCUCAGACGUGUAGCCGACGAAGCCAAUAGCAGCUGGGUAUGCUAGUCACUGAUUCUGAAGCGGCCGGUGUGUCGAUUGCGAUGUAUCUCAGUUCGGCGAAGGCCUGUGUCUGGAACAUGGGAAGAGGGUCUUCUUGCACUCGUCAAUCUCUCACAGCAACUGGGCAGGGUUGUAUCCGAACGUGGAAAACGCAGCAACCGUUGUUGAACCAAAGGAUGGUAUUUUUCUCCGAGAAAAACGCCGUGGCUUAUCUGGUGUAGACGAUCCCUAAUCCGGACAUGACCGCCGCUGUGCAGGUGUUGGGGAACCACAAUGCGCAAGAGAUGCGAGAGAUGGAGGAGUGCAAGAAGUACGACUGCGAAGCUACAUGCUUCAUCGAGCAAUGAAGUCUGGGUUUUCUCCAACUUCCGCAUACACACACUUUUCUCGACGACAUCCGUUUCAAGGUACGCAUCGGGAAACUGACGAUUCUCUGCACUGGUGUUCAGACUCUCCGGAGAGGCGGCGUCAUGUUCUGAGCUCUUUUUCGAUAAGGUGCUGUUGAAGUCCAGAAUAAUGGGGUCUGGAUUAUCCUCUGGACGGCUCCGCUUCUGGUCGAAAAAAUUUCAUCCCAAAAAAGGACUUAUCUGUUGACUGAAAAUGUUUAAUUGUGGUGAGGAUUGCAUGCAGCGACGUCGUAAAGAUAGGGUGACAAGGAGCGUUCCAGAGCUCAGCUCGGGGCAUGCCCCGGCACUCCCUAGCAUAUAAACAUACCGGGUGGAAUUUGUACCCACCAGGUCUUGCUCGGUGUCCCCUGUGCCCAAGCUGUUGGCUGCAUUGCCCUUGCGAUUCGAGUGUGGAGAGAUUUUAGCAAUGGCCUCCGCUGUGGCUUCAACCGUUGUGGCUCCUGUCUCUGUGACUGUGGCGUCAUCAUCUGUGGCCGCCUCUCGCGAGUCUUCCUCCGUCAAGGCUUUUUCUGGACUGAAGUCAGCGACCCUUUUCACUUCAAAAUCCCAGCAAUUGAGCUCCGUCCAGAACGGCAGCCGCGUGCAAUGCAUGCAAGUGAGUCUCUGUCGUCCCUUAAUCGAACAUAUUCGGGGUCGUACUAGUCGAUUUCCACGAGAUGAGACCUGAUGAUUAGACAUCCGGAAAUUUUAAGAGUUGUACGAUUUUGUGAUUGCGCAGGUGUGGAACCCCAUCGGGCAGCCCAAGUUCGAGACCUUCUCGUACCUGCCCCCGCUGAGCGAUGACCAGAUCGCGAGGCAGGUGGAUUACAUGAUCCAGCAGAACUUGAUUCCCUGCAUCGAGUUCGACACGGUAAGUCGGUGCUCUUCCCGGCGUCCCACGAGUAGACAGUAGUAUUGUCGAAGGCAGAGGCAUUGGUAUGUGGUCGUCCGGAGUGGGUUCCGCGGGCAUCGAGGUCACGGUGCAAAUGUGGUCUGAUGACGCGCUGGGGUGACUUGUCCAGGUCGGAGCCGUGAGCCGCACCAACUUCUCGGGGUCGGGCUCGUCGGGCUACUACGACGGGCGGUACUGGACCAUGUGGAAGUUGCCCAUGUUCGGGUGCACCGACUCUUCGCAGGUGCUGCGGGAGAUCCAGGAGUGCAAGACGUCGUACCCUAGCUGCUGGGUCCGCGUGCUGGGCUUCGACAGCAAGAAGCAGGUGCAGAUCUGCGGGUUCUUGGUCGCCAGGCCCAACUAGGGAACGAAUUUGUCGAGCUCUCUGGUUCUGGGCCGGGUAGCAGUAGCUUUGAUGGUGAGGCACUGACAGUCAGUCGCUCACACGGCAAAGUAGCCUGGAUGUGCUUCGCAACGAACUCUUGUAUUUGAGUAUGUGAGUUCACUUUGAACAUCCCAGAAGCAAAAGAAUGGGUUUUUUCAUGUUUGAAGUUUAUUUUGUAUAGUUGUGUUGAGCCGCGACUUCUAUCUGUCACUUGGCUUGAUAUUCUGAGUUUCUCCGAUACGAAUAGCGAAGUCCACUUGAACAUCUGUAACGGCAGCAAUUGCGUCAGGUCAAUCCUCUCAGAUUCUUUCGGUGCUUUUGUCGUAAACUAGCUUGAUUGUUGCCCAUUAAGCUUGGUUGCUUUUCGUGAGAAAGCAUGAAACUUCUAUGACGAAACCCGGUUGAUUGUAAUGUAACUAGUUUGAUUGUAGUUUGAAUUUGGUAAUUGCGUUGUAUGAUACAUAAUGAAAGUUUCAUGAUGAGGGCUCUUUGUUGGUAGUUAUUUUCAUUUUAAUAGACGAGUAUUUUUGUGAAAGUCACCAAGAGUCCUCGACUUUCUGUAAAACCGCAGUGGUGAAUUGAGAGAAGUAACCAGUACCAGUUAUUACGAGAAGAAGGUUGAGUCUUCGCACUGCAACACAUUACUUUGUGUCUGUCAAUGUCAAUAGUUUUUACAUGGCGAUUGCCAAUAAGUCUGUCGACACAGGUCAUUGUACCACCUGAGCAAGGAAAAGGCACGACGUACUGGUACAGUUCCCUUAUGGAACUUGUCAAUGUGUUCAAACCCAUAAGUUGCUGAAAGUGUACAGUCAGGUGAUUUGCACACUUUUCAGAGGUAGACCGAACAAAAUAAAACUUAUGGAAUGACAUACUUGAAAAGCUUUUUCUGAAAAUCUGUCAAAUAACAAAUGUUUGAUAUUCUUAAUAUUCGGAAUGUCAAGUCACACAUAUUUGUUACUGAUUCCUGCACAAGGAUUAACAAUCACAGCAUAAGCAAACAUGUAUUUUAAAUCAAAUGACUUUAUAAUAUAAAUCGAAUCGAUUAGAUAAGCAUGAUUUUAAGAGUUAUACUCACCUAGAGAAAUUUCUUACAUCAGAAGAUAAAAGAGAUAAUGUGCCCAGGAAGGCAUGAGACAUGAAGUAAUAGAAACACAUAUUCCACUGUGAAAUGUGAAAGGGAGUGGCUGAAUGAAAGAAAAUAGAAGAAAAGAAAAAGGAAAAAAAGAUACCAGAAAUCUUUUUCAAAAUUACCAAAAAUGUAUUAGAAAGGUAUUUUGAAAGGAAAAAUUUACUUACAAAAUAGAAGUCCAACAUCUUUUAAAUGUAAUAAAAUCACCCCUUGUAAAAUAAUAAUACAAUACAAUAGAUUUUCAAAGCUUUCUUAUUUGUUUAGUAACAGAUUUGAACCUUUCUUAGUGUAGCUACUUCUAUGUUUUAAUUUAGUAGAAAUAUUAGACUUCUUUGUUAUUACUAGAUUGGAAGUAGAAAAAGUACAAAUUAACAUGUAUUAUAAAAUAUUAAUUUCCAAUCUCCCCCAAACAAAUUAAGAAUAUUAUAAAGCAAUAAAAAUUCAAACAACAUCAAUUUAAAACCAAAAAAAACAUUAAAAAGCCAUCUUAUAGAGUAUUAUGUGACUUACAAUAAAUGCACUAAUGAUAACAUUAAUCAUUUAGCCCAACUAUGUCAAAAGGUAUUAUGACAACAUUCAAUUAAGGAAGGUGUUUUUUUAAUGGAUUUACAUAUCACAUAAAAAUAACUUCGAUAAAAUAUUUUGAUUUGUAAAUUAUUAAACUUAGUUUGAUUGCUAAAAAAACACUCCAACUCUUUACGUCCAUUAAGUAUAAAAAAGAAUACAAUACAAAAUAUCUUACUUAUAUUUAAACAAAACACCAAUACAUCUAAUAACUGUUGUUAAGUUAUUUAAUAAAUUAUUAUCAAAUCCCUACCUCAAGGAUAAAAAUUCCUUAAGAGAUCUUUUAAUAUCAUAAAUAAUAUUAUUUAAUACAUAAUUGUAAUUUGUAGAAACAAUGAUAUUUAUGCACCUUCAAUACUAUUAGACAUCAAUACAAAGUUAGUGGUGCAAUCUUUGACCACUUUUGUACAUGUUCACUAAGCACUAUUUAACUUGAGCUUGAAAAAGAAGGAUAUGUUACUUUGAUUCUUUUCUUUUAACUUGUAAAGAUGGUUCUUGUAAAUCUUGCAACUAUAGAAGUGACUAUUCACAGGCUUAGGUAUGCAUCAAUCAUUGCAACUCCAACUCAAGCUCCAAUAGCAAGAAAUUGUCUUUGUGUAUCAUGCUUUUAUUUUCUAUCAUAACCUAUAAAAAACUAUUCAUUUUUUUAAAUAUUUUUGUAGGAAAAAAAUACAACUCAAUAACAUAUAAAACAAAAAGAAUAAUAGCAAAAUAUCAAAGCAAAAACGUUGCAAUGUAUUAAUAUUUGAUUACAACAUAGUCCAAUAGCAAAGAUAUUAUUGCAUAGCAACAACAUAUUUUAGCAAUACAUUACAACAACAAAAGCAUUUGAAUGCAACAUCAUAAUAUUCCAACAAUCCAUCACAAAGAUAAUAUCCUUGCAUUGUAGUAAUAUCUCAUCAUAGCAAUACAUUGAAGCAAUAAAGCAUUGUAGCACAAUAGCAACAUAGCACAAUAACAAAAACAUUGUAGUACAACAAUACUUUAUUGCAAUAAUAUAAAUAUUUUAAUACAAUAAUAAUUUAUUACAAUAAUACUUUAUUGCAAUAGUAUAAAUAUUAUAGUAUAGUAAUAAUUUAUUACUAAAAUACCUUAUUGAUAAAACCACUCUCAAAUGUCUUGUUUGUUAAAUGAAAGAACAACUUGUCUUCUAAGUAUUCAAUAGCUGCCUACAAGAAUAAUCCAAUUUUUUUUGUUUCCAAGAGCUGCCUCUCUUGUAUUGGCAAUUGUCCAAAUUUAGUCUCAAAUUCCAUGAUUAGUUCAUUUGGAGCCAUUUGAUUUCUUGGCCUUUAUUCAAUCUACUCCAAAAAGAUUUUUUUUUUCAUUCUUUUGAAAUCUUCCUCAAAAAAUUCAUCUUUCAAGAGUUCUUCAAAUUUCUUCCCUCACAUAGCCUUAGUAUGCAACUCCUGCAUCUUUUUUCUAAUUUUUGGUAUCAUUGCCAAAUCAAAGAUGGUAAUCAUCUUCAAUUCUAAAACUUGAUGCACAUAUGCACAUAUAUGUGUAAAUCCUUAGGAACUUAGUGAUGUCACUCUCAUCAAACCUUCCAAUCUUAUCCAUCACUACUUGUAAAGCUUAGGUGGUGUUUCUAUCCUUUCAAUGCACUUAUUGCCUCUCUUUUAUAAAUUGAGCAAAUACCUUGAAUAAAUCAUAGGCACCUAUUCUACUUCGUAAAGAAAACCUUGGGAUUUGAUUUUCCAUCUUGACUUGUUGAAAAAUUUGGUGCCUUGAGGCUCUUUCAAUGGAAGCACCAAUAAAGUUUGGGUAGAGAGAAUUUGUGUCAAAAAAGCGUUGGGCUUUUGGCUAUCACUAAUUACUCAAUCAAGUCUUGAGAUAAAAAAACAUCAAGUUAUCUUUCUAUAUAUAUAUAUAUAUAUAUAUAUAUAAAAGUAUUCCUAUAGAGGUAAUAACAUCAAUACAUAAGUUCUAAGUACUAAAGAACAUCCAAAAUAUGAUAAAAAUAUUCUAAAUCCUUAUAUAUUCAUGAGGUGAAUUUUAUCAAAACUUCAAUAGAUCAUAUCUCAUAAUCGGAGUAUCCAAACAAACUAAAAAUUUACAUGAAGUAUUGAUGUAUUUUAAAAAAAUACUACAACAAAUUUUAAUUGCAAAUUUCUUAAAAAUCUUGAGAUAUUGCUUAAAUACUAACAAUAGCUUUAUAGCCUUGCUUGAAUAUAUCCAUAUGUAAUUUUUUUUAUAUCUCACAAACUAAAUAUUCAAAUAUCAUAAAAUAAUUUAUUUAUAAUUUUUCAACCUAAUAACACAUAUCUUUAGAAAUUUUGAGCCAAAACUUUGUUCAAAAACUCAAGGUGUAGUUCCAACUAUUAAUAUCAAUAAAAUGAUUCACGUUCUGCCUUUGAAUUACAUGUAUUGUCUUCAAUGCUUUAUAACUCCUUUAUACAAACUCCAAAUAUAACAAUUCUUUUGUAAAGACAUAAAUUUUGAAAUCAGCCUUGUGAUUGCACUCUUGAUCUUCAAAAUCUAUUAUAUAACUCCUUGUAUUUUUAAAAGAACAACAAUAUGUCUAAAAAAGACACAUUAACUUCAAAUGGCUACAACUUCAUCACCUUAAUUCCAAACCUUCUAAACUUUAUGCAAUCCUUGCUUCUAAUUCUCAAAUGUUCUUUUUGAAGUUGCCAAAAUCCUUAUUAUGGUUGCAGAUAGCCUCUUGAGAGCCUAUAGGGCAUGGCUUUCAAUCAAUAGAGAUGAAGAUCCUCAUUCCUUAUCUUCAUCCAUCCAUACUUUGCUUUCAUCCUUCCAAAUAAGCUUCUUAGAGGUUUGUAUCUUCAUCUUUGAGUUCCAAUCUUUUCUUUAAAUUUUGUAUUAAAUAUUUAAAUCUUAUAUAAUUUAGAUACUACAAUCAAAAUAAGUAAACCUCAAAAUAAAUUUUCUUUCAUCAACUCUCUUUAAAUUAACCUAUUAAUCACUCUAAUACACAUCAAUACUUAUAAAUAUAUCAUGUGUUUUAGUCAAUUUUUACAUACUAUGAAUAAUUACAAUACAACAACAUUGAGGCCUACUUAUGCAAUUUUCGAAUAAAAAUUUAAAAAGUCGAUUGUCAUUCUUUAAAGCAAAAUCAAUUACUUGACUCAAUGUUUGAGGAUUAAGUAAAUUGACCAUCAAUUUCUUUACCUCAUAUUAUAAUCCAUAAAGAAAUUGGCUAAUGAGUGUAGUAUCAUUCCACUUGAUAUCAAUCACAAGUUGUCAAAAUUGUGAAAUAUACAAUAUUAUAGAUUGAUUAACUCCCUCAAAUAUACUAGAAUUUGUACCAUUGCACUAUUCAUUUUGACAAGCUCUAUUAUAAUAACACUUAGAAGAAAAGAGAUGUCUAAUAUUGCUAAAGUUAAGUAAAAGAAAGAACUUGAGAACAAAAAGAAUAAUAUCAAAUUUAAAAGAGGAUAAUCCACAACAUCUAAUAUGCUUAUGUCUUAUCAAGAAAAAAAGAUAAUCCAUUCUUAAUCAAGAAAAGACAAAGCUUUGAUAUUGUAAGUGUAUUCUUGUCAAUCUCUCAAAGAUAAGAACUCAAAGAAAACAAAUAUACAAGUGAGACUUUUUCAAAGAAGUAUAACAAAUAUAUAUAUAUAAAAAAAAAUAUGUAUAUUAAAAAGAAACUAGAAUUACUAUUGCCAAAAUACAAGAGAACUAGAGACUUCUUAAAACUAAACUAGAAGCAAGAAAGGAAUUGACAAGAAUGAAGAAGGCUUCAUACUUACCUCUAUAUAUAUUAUCUAUCUAGGAGCUACAUGGCAACAUUCCAUAAGACCUCCAAAACGUGUUGACUUUGCACAACACGUAUCUUGACUUAUAAGGCAAGUUUUUAAUAUGGGUGCCAUAUAGUUAGCUUUUUUCGCAAGCUACCAACAUGUGUGGCACAUGCUUAACUUGCUGACCAAGUAUCUAACCUACCAAUCAACAACAAAUACAUGUAAAGUCAAAGCAACAUCUAUAAAGCUUCUAGGAAGCUUCUUUAAAAGUUAUUAUGAAAUUAAUCUACUUUUAUCUACUUUUACCUAUUCAUAUUACUUGAAUAACAAUUACAAUAAAUAUAUGUCCGUGACAAGUUGACAAUUACAAAAUCAACUAAUAGUGAAAACUAAGUAGAUAGAAUUCUCUACCAUCAUAUUUGUAAAAGUAUACUUAGAAAAAAAAAAAUCAAAUUAUAUUAUAUUAACACCAAUAUACAACCAACAAAAGUUCUUACUAAACCAUUAAAAAGAGUGAAAUUUGAAACAUAUAGAUAAGCCUUGAGACUUAAAAGCCUAAUUACAUUGUGCAAUAGAAUAAGAAUGGUUGUCAUUUCUUACUUCUUUGCUUAGUAACCAUGUGGUGAUAACAAAGACCAUCUUACAUAUAUGGAGGUUGGCUAACCUUUAUUUAAAAAUAAUUGGUCAAAUGAUUGCUACUUUUUUCAUUUAACCAACUUAAAUAAAUUUAUCCAUAUCUCUAAUUUCUUCACCAAACUACUAUUGAAAAUGUAGCUAAUGAAUUAGAUAUUUUCGAAACAUAUAUAAAAUCUUAUAGAUGUAAUAAACUUUGGAGUAAAAAUUUUAUUCUUUUAAAUCGAUGUUUAAUAAUUUGAUAUUCAUAGUAACAUGAUUUAGUAGUAACACCUUUUAAUCCAUGUCCAAUACAAGUCCUUAAACAUUUACAUUAAAACUAUACUUACAAGAUGACAUUAUUAAACUAAAAAAAUAUGCAUGUAAGAUAAUUCCAAUUAGAAUCUAUAAAUUUCUUAUUAUAAUUUUUUAAAAACAAAGUACCAAAAUAUUAUUAUUUUAAUAUCCUCUAAGUUAAAUCCAUAUAUUAAGUAGAAACAAUUAUUCUAAUAAAUAAUGAUAAAAAUUAGACAUCUUGCAAUAAAAUUUCUUUUUAAAAAUAGAUACAUAACAUGAAAAAUAUCCCAUAAAUAGCUAACACCAUCAAAACAUUUGACCAAAUAUGCACUUUUAGAUGUGUCAAGACAAAAAGAAAUAUUUGCAAGAUUUUGGAGUAUCUAAACUAAUGUUUGUCCUCUUUGCACUAUGAGUAGGAUUUCUUUUAUUUUGUUUAGUGAAAAGAUACAUUGCAAUUUGUUUUCAUAAUAAAAACUAUACUAAUGAAAUAGUGCUAAAAAAUAACAAGAUUAAAAAAACAUAACCCUUCUUACAACCUUAAAUCCUUCUAAUUAGACUACCUCAAAGUUGUGCCAUUUAGCACAAAAACCAUUCUUUUAAAUCUACUUAACCCUCCAAUUUCCAAUGAGCUUCAUGUGCAUACACAAGCAUGCUUUCUUUCUUUCUUUCUUGAAGAAAACUUAUCUGAACAAACGUUAAUACUCUACUUGUUGAUGAAAGUGGAACUUUGACCACAUACAGGCUUGGUGAUGUACUUUGUAUAUCUCCUCACAGUUAGUCUGGUGCAAUCCAACCAUGCACAUAGAAUAUGAAUGGGGACAUGCUUCCAGCCACUCGGGUGUGCAGAAAACUUGACAAGCGAGAUUCAAGCAACGGCGACUACGACGCCGAUCACGCAAUACAAAGCAUUGUUAGUAUGUGAUAAACCAGAGAAAGAGAUCGAGUAUGUGCACACAAAAACACACAGAUCCACAGGUAUUGUCUACGGCGCCACCACCAUCCGUCAAAGCUACCAUCUCGUCGAGGAAGAAUGGUAUUUCUAAAACUAGCAAUACAACCGCUGAUGGAAACAACCGAAAGCUAUGUCAUUGGAGAGGGCGCACGAGUUCAUGGAAUACACAGUGAGAAGAGAUAAAGAAAUAAAAUAAUAUAAAAUACAAGUGUGCAUCAGCAAGACAUGGCCGAAAUCUAACAACUGUCUGCACAUGCUGUGGUGGGUUGUAUCCACGCGCUGGAGGAAGUAACUUUCCUACAUGCACAGAAAAACAUUUUCAGAUUAGAAAGCUCUUCUGUUCUAGCUAAUCUCUAGUACCAAGCUCAGACGUGUAGCCGACGAAGCCAAUAGCAGCUGGGUAUGCUAGUCACUGAUUCUGAAGCGGCCGGUGUGUCGAUUGCGAUGUAUCUCAGUUCGGCGAAGGCCUGUGUCUGGAACAUGGGAAGAGGGUCUUCUUGCACUCGUCAAUCUCUCACAGCAACUGGGCAGGGUUGUAUCCGAACGUGGAAAACGCAGCAACCGUUGUUGAACCAAAGGAUGGUAUUUUUCUCCGAGAAAAACGCCGUGGCUUAUCUGGUGUAGACGAUCCCUAAUCCGGACAUGACCGCCGCUGUGCAGGUGUUGGGGAACCACAAUGCGCAAGAGAUGCGAGAGAUGGAGGAGUGCAAGAAGUACGACUGCGAAGCUACAUGCUUCAUCGAGCAAUGAAGUCUGGGUUUUCUCCAACUUCCGCAUACACACACUUUUCUCGACGACAUCCGUUUCAAGGUACGCAUCGGGAAACUGACGAUUCUCUGCACUGGUGUUCAGACUCUCCGGACAACCGGCGUCAUGUUUUGAGCUCUUAUUCGAUAAGGUGCUGUUGAAGUCCAGAAUAAUGGGGUCUGGAUUAUCCUCUGGACGGCUCCGCUUCUGGUCGAAAAAAUUUCAUCCCAAAAAAGGACUUAUCUGUUGACUGAAAAUGUUUAAUUGUGGUGAGGAUUGCAUGCAGCGACGUCGUAAAGAUAGGGUGACAAGGAGCGUUCCAGAGCUCAGCUCGGGGCAUGCCCCGGCACUCCCUAGCAUAUAAACAUACCGGGUGGAAUUUGUACCCACCAGGUCUUGCUCGGUGUCCCCUGUGCCCAAGCUGUUGGCUGCAUUGCCCUUGCGAUUCGAGUGUGGAGAGAUUUUAGCAAUGGCCUCCGCUGUGGCUUCAACCGUUGUGGCUCCUGUCUCUGUGACUGUGGCGUCAUCAUCUGUGGCCGCCUCUCGCGAGUCUUCCUCCGUCAAGGCUUUUUCUGGACUGAAGUCAGCGACCCUUUUCACUUCAAAAUCCCAGCAAUUGAGCUCCGUCCAGAACGGCAGCCGCGUGCAAUGCAUGCAAGUGAGUCUCUGUCGUCCCUUAAUCGAACAUAUUCGGGGUCGUACUAGUCGAUUUCCACGAGAUGAGACCUGAUGAUUAGACAUCCGGAAAUUUUAAGAGUUGUACGAUUUUGUGAUUGCGCAGGUGUGGAACCCCAUCGGGCAGCCCAAGUUCGAGACCUUCUCGUACCUGCCCCCGCUGAGCGAUGACCAGAUCGCGAGGCAGGUGGAUUACAUGAUCCAGCAGAACUUGAUUCCCUGCAUCGAGUUCGACACGGUAAGUCGGUGUUCUUCCCGGCGUCCCACGAGUAGACAGUAGUAUUGUCGAAGGCAGAGGCAUUGGUAUGUGGUCGUCCGGAGUGGGUUCCGCGGGCAUCGAGGUCACGGUGCAAAUGUGGUCUGAUGACGCGCUGGGGUGACUUGUCCAGGUCGGAGCCGUGAGCCGCACCAACUUCUCGGGGUCGGGCUCGUCGGGCUACUACGACGGGCGGUACUGGACCAUGUGGAAGUUGCCCAUGUUCGGGUGCACCGACUCUUCGCAGGUGCUGCGGGAGAUCCAGGAGUGCAAGACGUCGUAC